rnacentral:lncRNA from 1 species
UUUUUUUUUUUUUUUUUUUUGGUUUUCCACUUCUACUGUACUACUUGUUUGGUCUCUUUCUUGAUAAUAUUGAUUUGCAGCUAAUAAAGAAAGCUUUUCCUUCUCUUUCUCCAUUAAAUUUUCCUUUGGCACUUCUUACUUUUUUCUUCUGUUUUUUUUUUAAAAAAAAAAAAAAUUUAGUAUUGGUUGUUUUUCUUUCUUUUUCUACCUUCGUUGCUUGUUUCAUCCUUGUAAAAGUUUAUUUUCCUGAAUAUUUCUUAUUUCGUUUUUCUUUCAGAUGCGCAAUGGUAGUAAGGCGCCUGGAAUCUUUUAUCCAAAUUUCUAAUUACAACAUCGAUAAGGUGGCUUUUGAUCUCUCCUUAGACUUUUUGCUUGCGGCUUUCUCGAUCACAAGUUCUACUUUCAUUAAAAAAAAAAAACUCCAAUUCUUGCGUGAAAAAGGCAAAUCUGCAGCUGCAAAGAAUCUUGCAAAAGGUAGAAUCCACGACUUGAUGGCAAAUAAUAAAACUUCUAAGGGACAGGAUGUCGAAUAGGUGCUGAAAAACUUCUACAAAUCACACAAAAAAGGAAAAAUAAACUUGUCUUAGGUAAGUUGGCCACCAAAAUAGAUCUAAAAUCCUUGUUAAGGUAUAAGUCGAUGGUUCAAACUUUGCACCUUACAUUUAAAAAAAAAAAAAAAAAAACUCAAAGAUAUGCCAAAACUCCCUUCUAGUCUAAAUGAGCAUGCUUUCCCUCUACCCUCAUUGCAUCUAAAUGGACGUGCCUUCCCAUGGGCAUCUCUCAUUAAUGUGGGAUUUUAUAUUUAUCUGAAAUCACAGCCACUUGCUUCUCCUCUUUUUUCAACUUUGGAAACGGUCGUGUGUGUGUCUGUGUGUCUAUAUAUAUAUAGACACACAGACACACACACACAAGAGCAAAGUUGACAAUGCAAAAGGGCUUUGGUUACUUCUGAUAUAUCAAGUUUUCUUAGAUUUUUAUUGUCAACACCGGGACAAGAAGAGGGGUUGAAUGAGAAGAAUAGGACGAGGGGACGACAUUAAUGUGAUAGUAAGAACAUUUUUUUGUCAGAAUUCGCUGAAACUGAAUUUUACUUAGACAUGCUACAAUACCCUAUUCGUUCCUCUCAAAACACUAAAGUACGAUGAAAAGAUAGAUCACCAAGAGCAAAUGCAACACCAUAGAAGAGUUCACUCCCCCGCGCAUCGUGCGGUCCAUUUUUGUUCUCUUCCCUAAGAAGGUGGAUCAAAGAAAGAUAGCUUUCUUCUCUCAUGGACUGAUGGCUGCUUAUGUCGUCUAUGUGAAGGAUACUGAGAAAGCUUCUUCCUUGUCACAAACAAGAAAUUUUAAGAAUCAAAUUCUAAUGCUAGGUGGGAAGACCUUAAAACUAGAAAAAGGAAAAGAAAAUUGAUGUUCUCAAAAGCAAAAGAAAAAAAAAAAAAAAGGAUCUCAUGUCUUCGAUUAUCUGCCUUUGUUUUCUUCUAAUUUUAGUUUGUUAGAAGUAAUAUUUGAAGUUGAAAUUUGUCUAACAAUUGCCUUUACUUUGAGUUAAAGUUCCGGAAUAUAUUAUGGUAGGAAAUCAUAUACUUCACAAUUUGUCUGUUAACAUUUGAUUUUACGGUAUCAAAAGCCUUUUCGUCAUUCAAGAACAAUAUGCAAGGAUGACAAAAAUAAAGAAAAAGAAGAUGAUUCACAACGCGAUAAAGACAGAGAUCAAGAUCAGAACCUAGUUCACGAGCAAUUUACCCAAUUUAUUUCAAAGAAAGCGAGGAAGCAGCUCUCAAGUAAAACAAUGCAAACACGUCAAGAUGUUAAACCAAAUUCCUAUGCUCACUCACAAUCCCACAAAUGUGGGGCAUCCUCAUGUGGAUGAUUUCGUUCGAUUCAUCUGUUAUGUGUUUAGAUUCGCAAAUUUUUUCAUCUGUGCGUAUUAUUGUUGAUCCUUAGUUGUCCCUUUUUACUUUAACAGAGGUCAGGUUUAGCCCCCCUCUAAUUCGCUGUACUCUUUUUGGUUAUAAAUAAAUUAAGGGAUGGCAUCUAUUUAAAAAAAAAAAUUGAUUUCACGGUUUUAGUAGGCUAUGAUGAGUAUGAUACCAAAAUGGUGUAAGACGAAGGGACUAUAGCAUUAUGCAGGCCUGUAGCAUCUCCCUAAAGUUUAUAAGAAUGUUAAAGUUUACAGCGAUUAUAUGAACAUCUAUACUAUAUACACACUAUAUAUAAAGUGGAAGGCUAGGUUUGGCGUAAACAUUUUUUAUGACUUUUCAAAUUUUCAUUUAUGACUUUUAAAAAUUUUUUACUCUAACUGCAAUCUAUUUUCAUUGCAACUACAAAAUCAUAUCUUCCCAAUAUAACUACCCAUUGACUUAUGAACAUCAUUAUAGUCUUAAAGUAAAAAAAAAAACAUAAAAGAUUAAAGUUAUGUUUAAUAAUAAAAAUUUUAUGUAAAAUAAAUUUACAUAAAAAAUAAUUUAUUUUUAAAUUACACACACAUUGAGUGUGCCCUUGACCACUAGUGCAACAGUAUGGGUUUUUCAAAUACUGAUAGAUGGUUGCCACUGUAAGGUGUUAAAAACUUUAAUAAAAAAUAAUUGUCCCAAAAAAAACAUAAAGACUUAACCACCAUGGCACCCCCAACUAGGGGUGGCAAUCGGGUCAGGUUCGGGUUGGCGGGUCGGGUUGAGGUUUUAGUAUAACAAAGAACCUGCUGACCCGAACCCGGCCCGUCAACCCGAAACGGGUCAAGGUACCUGAUACGAACCCGAAAAUUUCGGGUUGGCGGGUUUGUUGGUCGGUCGAUCUGAAAUGACCCGAAACUUAAUUUUAAUUUAUUAAUUUAUCACUGUAAUUUCUAAUAAAAUCAAAUUUUCACAAAAUUAAUUACAUCAUCAAGUAAUAAAAAUUUAAAUAAAUAAUUUCAAACCAAAUCUAAAAUAAAUUAAACACCAUAAAAGUGUUUUAUCCCAAACCAAUUAUAAAAUAAAUUAAAACAACAUAAAAGUAAAAAAUAACAUAAUAUAUUAUUUAUCCAAAUAUAAUAAUUUUAACUUCACACAAGUUAAAUAAAUUCAUUUAGGAUUAAGUAAUUAAUGCCUUUGGAAAAAAAGAAUGAUUUAGUUUAGUUAGAUAAAAUAAUUUUUAUGUUUAUUAAAUUAGUUUUAAUUCGUAAACGGGUCACAUCGGGUCAUAUCAGGUCACCACGGAUUGACCCGAAAUUGACCUGUUUUCUUUUCGGGUUCAUCGGGUUCGACCCGAUUCUGACCCGAACUCUCGAAACCUCAACCCAAACCCAUUAAUUUCGUGUUAGGUUCGUGUCGUGUUUUCGGGUCGUGUCAGGAAUUGUCACCCUUACUCCCAACAUCCAAAGCUACAACCACCAACCAUGAAACACCAUAGCCACUAAUACUUCACUAUCAAUGAAAUGUAUACAAAAGCCACUAGUACUACACGGCCAAUGAAAUGUAUACACAGCCCAAGCCCUUUUUUUAGUGCAAACAGAUGAAUUAUUAGUAUUUGUGUAGUCAAUAAGCCAUUGGUCUAGUAGCUAAAAUUGAGAUCUCAUAAAUUAGAGAUUUUGGAUUCAUUUCUUUUUAUCCCCUCUCCUAAUCCAAGAAUAAAAAUAAGUAACAAAAAAUUAGUAUUUGUGUAAGUCACAAAUGCACAGAGAGUCUACGUCACGGAAGAGAAACAAGGAUCAAAAGGAAAUUUAAUUGGGAAGGGGCUGAAAGGAUAGAUAGAUGUCUGUGAAUCCACAAUAAGUAGUCAGCUAAAUGAUGCAAAACAUACCAAAUAUUAGACAAGCUAAUCACAGUCAUGUGAAGCUACUAUUUGACCAUGUGAGACGCGUUGAAAAGCUGUCUUGCAAAGAUUUCUACACUACACAAAGGCACUAAUUUAUCAACGCCUUCAGUAACUUUCAAGUCUUGACUGUUCGAUGCUUUGCCAAUCCCUCCAUCUGAAAUAUCACCGGUUGUAAUUUGAGCUGGUGCAUUCAGUCCCAUUGAUCUGGCUUUAACCAUUAUUCCCCCAAACUGAACCAUGUUUGCAUGGCUAUGUAGACGACUGAACAGAAAUGAUGGCCAAUAUCCAACAACGAACCCUGGCCCGAUUUCGAGCCACCAAUGUCCAUGCUCAGCAUCCUACAAAAAUGGAACUUCAGUUGUAUAAUUAAGAUAGUAUAUUUUAAUUGGAGAUUAUCUGAAAUAUUAUUUAGAAUGAUUAGUGUAGCACUAUUAUGAUGUCAUAUACAUAGAUGGAACUAGGAAAUAUAUCUUGAGCGGGUGAGUUUUAAUAUACCAACACUUAAUCGUGCAACCUAAAAUCAUUAUAAAGAGUGAUUUUGGAAAUUUUUUAAUUUCAUAAGGAAGGAAAUUUAAAUUUUAUGAAACUUGGGGAGGUGAGAGCCCUUUCGCUGUCCCCUAAUUUCAUCUCUGAUGAUAUAUAUGAGAUUAAAAAAAAAGUGAUAAAAGAUGUGUUUGUAAUGCAAGUAAAUUUUACAAAAUAAUGCUAAUCCAAACAUGUUUCCUACACUAUCAACAAGCCGGUUAAUAUAUUAUCAGGGACUAGGUUAUAUAUGUCAAAUAUGCAAAAAAAAAAAAGAAAAAGAAGAAGAUAUUUUACAUUUGAACAAAAUGAGUUGAGACAUGAUUAGUUUCAAGCUACUUAUAUGUGAGUUUUUUUUUUCAUUCGUCAUUUAUCUACUUUACUCCUAUUCUAACCUAAUCUAGGAGGAGACCCAAUUGGGUCUAUAGGGAAGCCUUAGUAUUUGGUGGUUUAUAUAUGAGUUUAUUAAUUGGCACUUUUAUACAUAAAUUGCGGGUCUCGCCAAGGGGAUCCACCAUUUUUGAAAGACACACUUAUAUAGUUAUAAAUAAGAAAAAUGGUUCAAAAUGCUUUUCACAUUUGGUCAAAUGAAUUUUUUCGCCCUUCAGUUUUAAAAUAUUAAUUUUAUGUUCCUUACAAAUUUAAGUUAGCAAAAUUUGGUCGUAACCUAAGUUUUCUAUCACUUUUUUAGCCUGAAAUCAUCACGUAACUCAAAUGCAGUCAUUUUUUUAUGUACAAAAAGGUCAAAUCCUAUAUUUUUAGUGACAAAAAUGAAUUUAUAUUUUGAUUCAAUCCCACUUUUUUUUUAAAAAAAUGAAUAUGGUUUGGGUUAGAUCCUACCUUUUUGGGACAAAAAUGAAUAUGGAUCGAGUCAUUCUAUUUAACUACAAAUGGAAUCUAAUUCUUUUACCCCUAAAAAAAUCAUGUGUUGUUCACGUGAUGAAUUCAAGGUAAAAAAAUGGUCAAAGACUAGAUUGGGACCAAAAUUUAUCCAUUUGAUUUUGGAGUAGACCUAAAGUUGCUAUUUUAAAACUGAAGGAUGAAAAAUUCAUUUAACAAAAUACCAGAGAUGUUUUGAAUCAUUGUUCCUUAUAGAUAUUCUUCUUUUGUGGAUACAUGAAAUUGGCAUUAAACGGCACUUGCAAACUGCCCUCCCCACUUGCCUUUACUUGUUUGUGAUCCAUUACUUGAUAGAAGUUGUGUGGUUUUGAUGGAGUUGGGACAAAAGCUACAAGCAUCAUUUAAAGCCAGUUGUUAUGAACUAGUAACAGAACCUUAGUUGUCGCCAACAAAGGAUAAAUAAAAAAAUAAAUAAAAUCCCGAUGCCCUGACAGAGAGGAUAAUCUGACAGUCAAUUAACUAUAUCAAGAAUAGUUGGUAAGUUAGAAAGGUAUCAGAAUGAGGAUGAUAUACAGUUGUAAUGUCAUGGUUAACCAUUUGUUUGUUAGACAAAAGAUGACAAUACUCUUCCUAAUUUGAGCAGGCAAACAAUAGGGUUGUACUUUUCUUAGUUUCAUUUGUUGAAAUGCAAAUAUGUGAAUUUAGUUUGAUUUUGCAAGACAAAAACUCAGGAUGUUUCAAUCAAAGUCUGUAAGAAUCUGAACUUGAAGGUUGCAUAAGAUAGCACUGAACUUACCUUUGCAAUCAUCAUCGGUAUGUCGAUAUCAAGUUCUCUGCCAUUCUGAGUAAAUCUUGGAGGGAUUGCUGCCCCUAAAGAAAUUCUGUUAUUAGUUUGUACAAAGCCUGAACACAGGAGGCUAUAGCAUCCUGUGGUUCCAUAUGAAUCAGCCUGUAGAUUGAAAGUGAUCAGUAGUCUAGAGCUUUUAUGUCUAGCACAUACAGACGUAACUUAAGGAUGUGUAUUUGAUGGUUUACCGUCCAGUACGUGAAUAAUCUGGGGGAGUUGUCUCCAAAUAAUUUCCGAUUAACCUGGAGAAUUUAAAAAUGGCUGAUCCUUAGAUGUCUUCUUGCACCCAGAAGACUUAGAAAACAUGAUUCUUGUGUCUAGUUUACUUACCUGCCAGCCGGCUUCAACAGUAUUAAGAUCAUUACUAGUAGUAUUACCAGAGGCUAUCCAGACUUGUGACAGUCUGAAGUCGUAUUGGUCCGUCUCAUUACCUUUCCAGACAUGUAUCUUGACUCGCGUUCCAUAGAAACAAUCUUCAGUAACAGUGGCAACAGUUUUCUACAUUGAAAAUAAAGAAAAGAUCAUGUAUACUGAAUCUGAAUCUGUGAACUUUUGAUGCUACGAAAGGGAACUUCAAAGCUUAGACAGAGCCAGAAUAUGUUAACUGCAAUUUGAUUCACAAGUUGAGUUGUUCAAAUUGUCCAAUUAGUUUCUUAAAUAUCACUUUCUCUUUUGGUAAGAAUUUCACUUUUAUUCUCUUCACAAACUUCUCAUUUGUGUGGCAGUGUUCCACAAACGUAAUUAUUCUUAGGAAAGAACAAGAAAAUGGCAUGAUCUAAUUUAGGAGAGAGAGACAUCUCGAUGUAAUCAUAGGAAGAAAAUAUGGGAUUGUGGGAAGUUUCCUCAAGCUUCGAGUUGCUUAUGCAUUGAUUUAGAAAUCAUUGCCUUGAUAAAUCUGUGAAACUGACCUAGCUAGUUUCUUAAAAACUAACUGUACCUAGAUUGUUUGAGUGCCAUUUUACUACAUUUCAUAGACUUACCAGUUGAUCAUCACUGCUUAUCUUAGCACUCUGUUUACUGAAAGUUUUUCUGCCAAAUUUGUGCAGUGAACCAGCCCUCAGGACAUCUUUCAUUGUAGUUCUUCUGAUGGGUACAGUAGCAUCAGGGCACGAUUCACCAGAAUCAGUCCACAGUUGAAUGCUCUUCCUCGAACCAUGGUGGGUUGGUUUCUGUCAAAAUAUCAGCAGAGUUAUAGUUAAAAGCUCUGUCUAUACCCAGAACCAGUCCAAACAAAACUUUUCAAGACAUCAAAUUUCUGUCAAUGUGGUGUACCAGGUUAAUUCUGAAUAUGUUUUGAUUAUCUCAGCCCAUGACUAAGCAUGUGUAAUUGUACUUUUGACAAAAUAGUUUCCUUAAACUGUAGUUUCUGCAGAAACAUGGAGGAAAUGACCUGAUUUUGAGCUCAAUUACCAGUGACUUCUGUCCUUUGAGCAGAGGAUGAUCAAAAGCUGGUUGGAGAUGAGAUGGGACACAAUCUAUUAGAUCACCAUCUGGACUCUGUGUCAAAGUAGUAAGGCAAAUUGAAAUCAGUAAACCUGAAAACCACUAAAAAGACGCCAACUUUAGCUAGAAACAGUUCUGGAAGGUAUGAAGUAGAAUUGCCUCAAUUGUCUUGAUUGCUAGUUUGUUAAUCCUCCUCAGAUAACUUCUAAUUCUCUUUAACUUCUGCAGCCUUUGACUCAGACGGAUAGUUUGAUUGCGUGGUUGUCACUGGAAUCCAAUACAUCAUUUGGCUUAGACAAGACUGAUGAAAUAGAAGCAGCAGUAAUUAUAAUCAAGAUGAAUAUAAUUUGAACUGUUUUGUAAGAUCUAGCAGAAGCCAUGCUUUCUCUGUGUAUAUCUAUUUCUUCUUCUCUUAACUUUCGUUUCUCUUAAAUAUAAAUAUCACGCGUUUCUAUUGACCACCAUGACAUUGUGAACAACACGAUCAUGGUAUACUAAAAAAAACUGGUGGUCCAUCAAGAUAGCAGUAGUGCUCAAGAAGCCAUCCAAAUGCAAGAGGUCAGCCCUGGAUUACCGGAAAGUUUAUCAGUUCAUUUAUAGUACUCAAGGAACCAAUCAAAGAAAAGGUCAAACCAACUCACUGACUCAACGUCUUGAAAUUUUUUCCCCUCCAAUCUCUGGCUCUCUCACUCUUUUUUUUUCUUUUUUUUUUUGGUGGUCUUUCUAUCUCUGGCUCUUCAAAGAUUCUAUAUUUUUACAGUAGCCUCUCAAAAAUCAGUAUAAUAAAUUGUAGUCCAAAGAACUUAUUUGGUUAGCUUAAAGAAUAUACACAAACAAAAUGAUUUGCAAAGUAAUGCAUAAGUUAAAGGUUCAAAGACUUGCUUCCUUGCCGACUACUGCUUGCUUAGGAAUGAUAACAGGUGGAAAUGGAAUAUAAGCUAUUACUAAGAAAUUGUUUUUGCUUGGUUUUCACUUUUGUGUAGGUCAAGUUCUUGUGGCUUGCUUAAUCUCCAGAGCUAGCUGGCUGGUCGGCGCAUUUCAUCAGUCUCAUCAGUAUAAAUCUAUUGAUCAAAUGUCAAUUUGGCUUUGCUAAUUUUUCUUUUCCUAACCUAAGAAGUCUGGGUGUAAAUACACAAAUUUCGUUGACUCCAGAUUACAAUUUCUUUGACAUUUUGUUUAGGUAAAUGCAGCUCAAUGUGCAUACAUAUGCCGACUUGAAAAUCACUGUAAUGUUUACAAUGGUAAAUUACAUAUAACUCCCAUGUGGUUUCAUCUAUUACCACAUGACCCUCCUAACGUUUCAAAAUGUCCAUUUCAUCCCCCUAUGGUUUUAUAUAAAGUGAAAAUUUGACAAAAAACAACCUAUCUAAUGUCGUUAGUUGAAAUAUCAAUAGUGCCCUAAUUAAUUAAAUGCUAAAUCAAUUGAUGGCUUAACCACUAUGUAUAAAAGCAUAGAAAAAUUAUGUGGAUAAAUGCAAAAAUCAUAUGUGGUAAAGUGGAUAUUUAUACAAAUCAUAAGAAGAUUACAUGGAUAAUAAAAUUUUAUCACAUGUGCUUUUAAAGCACAUUUGGUAUAAAUGCCACAAGUGAUUGUGCAUUUCGUCCAUUUUCCACUUUAUAUAAAACUAUAAGGGGUUAUGUGGAUAUUUUAAAACCUUAGGAGGGUCAUAUAGCAUUAUGUAAAACCAUAGAGGGUAAUAAGUAAUUUACCCUAUUUACAAUUGUUCUACUCCGUCUUGAAAUUUAAUAUUAGAUAUUAUCAUUUCCACGAUUCCAUCUUCAAGAAAUACAGCCAAUUCAUAUAGGGAAAAUAAAUCUAUCUCAGCACUUUUUUUUUUUCCAACAAACGACAACAGAUUUCAUUAAUAUUAACACUUGAUAAUACAAGUAUUAGUUACAAAAAGGGGAUACUACCCUCAUUUCUUUCAUCCCUAACUCAAUCAGCCAUAUUGGGAAGUCAUUUUCCCAUUCAAUGCUAUGCACCAAUUUAACUACAAAAUGAGCUAGUGCAUGACUGAUUUCAUUUGCUGUUCUAGAAAUAAACACAAAAGAGCACCUAUCAAAGCCUGUUCUAAGAUCCUGUACAUCCUCUAGAAUAGUUGCAAUGCUAUACUCAUAGUCACUGCUGUUACUCUAGAAUAGUUGCAAUCUUUCUCAGCACUUGCUGUUACAUGUGCCUUAGCAGAACGUGUCUUUGGCAAACAAAAAUCUGCUUUGCCGGCCUAAAUAAUUUUUAGUUUGUCAUUUUCACGGCUUCUCUUUGUUUGUGAGCUGUUAGCGAGUCUUGUUUAUGUGAUUUUGUCUUUCAAAGAAGGCUCAUGUCAUAUAAUAAACUGAGGUUGGUGACCGUAAUGUUACAUUUUUUGUUUUCUGCAUAUGCUUGGCACAUGCAAGUCUACUCAUAGAACAUUAAGCACUGAUCAUUUUCAUGCCUUAAUUAAAUUUCUUAAUCUAAUAGACAAAGGAAGACAAAUAUUGUAGUGGCUGUGGCUAGGCUCAUCUUCAACUUUCAAGAUGGAUAACAAUAGCAUUUUGCCUGUGCACUGAAGAAAUUAAAUAAAAAAAAAAAAAAAAAAGCUUCAUCCCAACACUAUUAGCCUUUCAAAGCACUGCUCUAAUUCUCCCCUACUAUGGACAAGAUCAACAUGAAGAUCAAGACAACACAACUCAUUGCAAUACUGUGGUGGGUCGUGGCGAUGACGGCCCUGCCAAUAUUGGCUCAUGGCAGCAUUGAUCAAAGUCCUGAAGCCGUCAAAAAAUGGUUCAAAGAGCUUCGACAUGCAAAGGAGAAGUUGACAGAGCUUCACUUCUAUGUUCAUGACAGGGUAACUGCAGAGAGCCCCGCAUCUGUGCUAGUUGCUCAAGCCAAUGCUACUAGCAAAUCUCCCACGAUGUUCGGGGCAACCUACGUCUUCGAUGACCCGAUGACACUGGGACCUGAGCCCAGUUCCCAGAUCAUCGGUCACGCCCAGGGCAUAUCCAGUUCGGCAUCGAAAGAGGAUGAUGCUUCACAAAUUGUCAUCAUGAACUUGGUAUUCAACGAUGGCAAGUUCAAUGGUAGCACCCUUAGCGUUCUAGGUGAUUAUCCCUUCUUCCAGAAGUACAAGGAGAUGCCAAUAGCAGGUGGUUCUGGGGCUUUUCGAUUGGCCCGUGGAUUGGUUACAGCAAUAAUCUAUGCUUACAAUGAUACCACCCAGAAUGAAAUUAUCAACUUCCACGUCCUCGUUCUUCAUUAUUGACCUUGAUUUGAUGCCAUUUGUUGCUCGUACUUUCUUGUGGUUUUCUUUGUCGUAUAACAAAGAUUUCAUGUUAAGGAUAUAAUCCUUGGAUGAUACAAGAAGUAUUGAAGGUUUUUUUGUUUUUUCGUUUUCACUUCUACAGUUCUGCUUGUUUGGUCUCUUUGUUGAUAAUGUUGAUUUUCAAGUAAUAAAGAAAGCUUUUCCUUCUCUUUCUCCAUUAAAUUUUUCUUUUGGCACUUCUUACUUUUCCUUUUGUUUUAAAAAAAUCUAGUAUUUUUUUUUCCUUCUCUACCUUCAUUGCUUGUUUCAUGCUUCUAAAAGCUUAUUUUCCUUAAUAUUUUCUUAUUUCGUUUUCUUUCCUAAACGCAAUGAUAGUAAGGCGCUUAAUUGGGAUUUUUUUUAAUCUAAUUUCUCUAUCAAUAUUUCCUAUCUAAUUUCAUACUAAGGGUGCAUGUGAUAAAACUGAAGUUUGAAAUCUAAAAUGUGAAGUUUGAAUCCAUUAAGUUAUUGAAUUGUUAAUUAUUAAAUUUAAUACAUUUGAGUGCAUAUCACAUUCAAUGAUAAGUGAAUAGUUUAACACUUAAUUUUAAAAGCAAAUUUUGCCUAAGAAAUUUAGUGUCAUUUAAUUUAGUUCAGAUGUUCAAUUUUUUAUUAUCAAACGGUGUAAAUAUAUUAAGAUCUGAAUCUAUUAACUUUAAGCACUGAAUUGGAUUAGCAAACAGGGUCUAAGUCAUCAGCUUUUCAUUUCUCAUUAGUCUUUUUGCUUGUCCCUAUUCUCGAUUACAAGUUCUACUUUCAUCAGAUGAAAGGGGCCAAAAUAAUAAAAAACUGCAACUCCAAUCCUUUCAUUAAAAAGGCAAAUCUGAAGCUGCAAAGAGUCUUGCAAAAGGUAGAAUCCACAACUUGAUGGCAAAGAAUCAAAAUUCUAAGGAAUAGGACGUUAGGUGGUGAAAAACUUUUACAAGGCAGAUAAAAGGCAAAAGAAACCAAAAAUACCACAUACUUAUUUUGCAUCAGAGUCAUCCUAUCUUUACAAAUCCUCUUUUUUUUGAAAAAUGUUACACAACUCUUUUCUAAUCUAAGUUACUUCCCGGUUCCCAACUUAGAUCCUUUCCAAUCUUUAGCGGUGCCCAUGUCUCAUGCUCGGACAAAAUUCGCCUCGACAGGCCACUUCUCCUCUGCCUAUCCUGCAUGCUGAUGGUCGUUGGAAUCUUCAUCCAACCACUCGACCUUGCUCCCCAGGCUACUCGAGGAAAUUGAAUUGGAUUCACACCCUGCUUCUGAUCGGAUCAGUACGAUAAACAACUUUGUAUUAUCAAUCAUAUAUCAUCUUACAGGUGGUGUAAUUAUGGGCAAUCUCACCAAUGUGGGAUUUUACAUUUAUCUGAAGUCAUAUCCACUUGCUUGUCCUCUUUUUUCGACUUUGGAAACAGUUGUAAAUAUAUACAGGAGUAAAAUUGACAAUGCGGGGGCUUUGGAUGCUUCUGAUCUAUCAAGUUGUUCUCAGAUUUUUAUCGUAAACAUCGGGAUAUGAAGAGGGGUUGAUUGAGAAGAACAGGAAGAGGGGACGACAUUAGUAUAAUAGUAAGAAAGAAUAUUUCUUAUUAGACUUGGCUGAAACUUAAUUUCAGCCAGUCAUACUAGAAUAUCCAAAGCGCUCUUCUCGAAUCGCUCUAGUACGAUGGAAAGAUGUGUUAGGUAUUUUCAAAAUUUGAUCAGUUGCAAGAAGGGGCAUCUUAGGAUCUGACAUAAGAUCCAUCACUGUCUGGUUCCUACAAUGCUCAGAAGUUGUUCAAGUCUACUUGACACAUUUUCAUAUUUUUGAUAGUUAACUACUAUCUAAAUAGUGUUUAAACAUCCAAAAACUAUGUGAGCACUUGCAUUGAUAUUGAGGAACAUUUUGACCAAUACAAAUACACAAAUCAGCGGUGAAAGGUUGCAACUCUUGGUCAUUUCAAUCUCAACUACAUAAAUGUCUGGUAGGGAUGGUUUGCUGUAGAAGAUCAAUUUCCUACUACUAGAAUUCUCUGCAAAAACACAUCAUAGUUUAAGUAAGUUUAUCUAACUUUGUGCAAGAGUUAAGACAAAACACCUUUCAAAUUAUUUUAAAGGAUAUUUGUCCAAAACCUUUGCAUACAAAAUUUUGGAUAAAUAAAGUCUAAAGAAAAGUGAUCUUGAGUCACGAUUUGAAGUCUUUUUGUCUCACUUUGUAACUUUUAGUCAUUUUCUCCUAUAUUAUCCCCAACAAGAUGGAUCCACCGGAGAAAAUGCAAAAUGAUAGAAUUGUUCGCCCCUCCACGCCUUCCACGGUCCAUUUUCAUUCUCUUCCCUGCCGGAGAGGUGGAUAAAUAAGGUAGCUUGCUUGUCCUCUGGCGGCUUAUGUCAUCUGCUUGAAGGAUAUUGAGAAAGCUUACUUACCACAAAUAAGAAAUUGUAUAAGAAUUGAAUUCUAAUGCUAGGUGGACAAGGCCAUACAACUAGAAAACGUUGAAAAAUACGAAGUCCUCCAAAAAGUUGGGAUCUCGUGUCUUUGCUUAUCUGCCUUUGUUUUCUUCUACCUGUCUCAGUAAUAGAAGUCAUAUUUGAAGUAUUUGAAAUUUGUUCUAACAAUUUUCUUCACAUUGAGUUCAAGAAUAGAUUAUAUCAUGGUAGGAAACUACUUCAUUUUUUAUCUAUUAAAAUAUUAUUUGAUACCACUAGACAAAGGCACUGUAUAUGGCAUUUCAUUUUUUAUCUAUUAAAAUAUUAUUUGAUACCACUAGACAAAGGCACUGUAUAUGGCAUUUGAUGCAGGAUUGUUGCAUCUCCAAAGUUCACAAGAAGGUUACAGUUUACACCAAUCAUAUGAACAUGCAUAUAGGACUUCUCUCUCUAAAAAUGAGAGCGUCUCUCUCUAAAAAUGAGAGUUCCCCUCCUCGGUGUAGGAGCAAACACCUUCCUUUUAACUUUCGCACCACUUUCCACCAUCCGUACCAAAGUCCGCCUAGCUUUUGAAACUUUUUGAAAUUCAAGAACGCAAUUUGUAAAAAAGCAUCCGAGCCAAAUUUGGGGAAAUCCUGGAAAGAUUCAUGCUGGGAUCACCAAGGAAGUUAGAAAGCAUCGGAGAAGCUUCAGCCUAACAGUUGCGUAGUAGCUCCCCUUUUCUUUUGUUUUCUUCUUUUUCUUCGGACCUUCGGUUUUUUCCUUUUGGUUUUCUGUUGGUUUCCACCUGAUAAAAAGGAGUAGGAAGCUCAUAUGGUCAGCAUAUAACCCAUGGAAGUCCAGAACUCUAAUUAAGGGAAGUGGCGUCUUUCUCUGUUUUUUUCUUCUUCUCAUUCCGGUUUUUUUUGCUCUGUUUUUCAGCUUUGUCUGUUUUCUUCUUAUAGUCUAACGUCCUUUUUAGUUUUGUGCUCCUGUCUAUCAUCUUGUAGACCCAGGUGAAAGAGUCGUUUGUUCAUACGGAUAUAGUACUGGGAACUCAGUGUGGUUUUGGGAGGAUGGAGGAAGUAUUAGCAAAGGCCUUACAAAGAUUUGAGCUAUCGGAAAAGGAAGUGGGGGGAAUAGACUUAAGCAAUGAUGAUGUAGAACAGAGUGUGCAGGAUUGUAGAGGAAGCAUGGUAGGAAGACUUAUGGGAAACAUGAUAGCAAACUUUACUGGGGUGAAAAUUUUCACCAACCACGUUUGGGGCUAUCCCAGAAACUUAUGAGUUACUGAGAUAGGCCCAAAUGUGUUCCAGUUUCAGUUUGAAAGGGAGGAAGAUAGGGAAAAAGUGUUGGCAGGAGGCCCUUGGAUCUUGGACAACCAGGUUCUAGUUGUACGAGAGUGGUGUGCAGGCUUUGAAAAAAGAGUUGAGAGCUUUAGGUACACCAGUUUCUGGGUUCAAAUAUGGAACUUACCGGUACAUUGGAUGAGUAAUGCAGCAGGAAAGAAAAUAGGGGGAGUGUUUAGGAAGGUGAAGGAGGUUAUACUACCACCAGGGGGUGGAAAGGAAGGGAGACACAUGAAGAUAUUUGCAGAGAUAGAUUUACUACAGCCACUGGUUAGAGGGACAUUAGUGAAGCUUAAUGGAAAGAUGGUAUGGAUAGAAUUUAAAUACGAAAGAUGCCCAGACUUCUGUUACAAGUGUGGUACUAUAGGUCAUGGAGAUAAGAAUUGCAGAAUGGAAAUGAGGUAUAAUUCAUCUCACAGGGAGGCACAAUUUGGACCAUGGAUGAGAGCAGGAAACAUAAUGGUGUCUCCUCUUAGGAGUGAGUAUGGAAGGAAUCUGAAUCCAAAGGGGCAAGCUAAUAUACAAGAGGGGGUAGGUGCAGGAGGAAAAAAGGGGGAUGGGUUGGGGGAGAAAAUGUUACAGAAAGAGAUAAUGGGACCAAGAGAAGAGGGUGGGGGAAGAGAAGGGAAGAAAAAAGAGGAAACAAGCAGGCAAGAGGAAGUGAGGGGACAGGCACUAGUUAUAAGUGACAUGGUAGGGAAAGAGAGGGAGGCAAGUAGAACUGAGGAGAGGAAGGGCUUUCAGGAUAAGGGAAAGGGAAGACGGGUUCAGGAGAUGGAGGAUAAGAUAGGGGAGAUGAAAGGUCACAUGGAUUUUGAAAUGCAGGUAAGCGAGAUUGAACAUACAAUGCUGGAAAGGCCAACAAAUAGAGCGACCUUACAGCAGGCAAGCAUAAAGGAAUGUCAGGAAAACAAGAGUCAGCUAAUUUCUGUGAAGGUGGAAGACAAAGGGUAGCAACAAAGAGGCUUCCACAGGAUCAAAAGAAUCCCAUUAGGACAGAUAAAAGACGACACUCAGGUGGGGAACAAGGAGGUAAAAGGAAGAAGUCUAGAGUAAAUGAGGAGAACGAGCCAACGGAAGAGGAUGAAGAGAAUGAACCACCAUAGAAACAAGGGAGAAGGAAAAACCAGAAAAUGACUAAAAUAAGGGAACUGGAGGCAAUCCCAUCAAAGCCUCCACAGCGCAAAUGAAGGUUCUGGUGUGGAAUUGUCGAGGUGUGGGAGGACCUUGACAAUUCCCCAACUAAAGGAGGUGAUUAAUCUCCACUUUCCAAGUGUUAUCUUUCUGGCUGAGAUAAAAAAAUUAGAAGAAAAUUAUAGAAAAUGUACAAAAACAGCUAAAGUUCGACCAUUGCUAUGUGGUAUACUCAAAUGGAAGGGCAGGAGGGUUGGCAAUGCUGUGGAAGGAAGAAGUAGAAGUGGUGAACAUUAAACAGGAGAGUUUCCUCAUAGAACUGAAAAUAAAUGAUAAGAAGUUAGGGAACGAAUGAUGGUUGGUCGGAAUCUAUGCUAGCACAGAUGAGAAAACAAGAAAAGAACAGUGGAAAAAGAUAGAGGAAAAAAAGAGGGAGUGGAGGGAAUAUUGGAUUCUAGUAGGGGACUUUAACGAUAUAAGAGGUGGAGAAGAAAAAUGGGGAGGGAGAGGGAGACAAGAAGGUAGUUGUAAGGAGUUUAACAGAUUCAUUAAGGAAAAUGAGUUGGUAGAUAUAUGAUUUGAAGGGAAACCAUGGACAUGGUGCAAUCAAUGGGAAGGAGAGGGAGAAGUAAAAGAGAGAUUGGAUAGAUGCCUUGCAAGUGUUAACUGGUAUCAAAUGUUUAAAGGAACUAUGUGUAACCACUUAGAAAAUGAAGCAUCAGAUCAUAGCAUGCUCUUACUGGAUACAAACCCCGAUCAGAGAAAGGUAAAAAAAAGGUUCUACUUUGACCAGCGGUGGGUCAAGAAUGGGGAAAUCAGAGAGGUGAUUGAAAGAGUUUGGGGUUCGGAGCAUCAAGGUUCAAGAAUGUUUAAGGUGACAAGAAAGAUAAGAGAGUGCAGAAUGGCUUUGUUAACAUGGAAGAGAAAUAACAGCUUGAACUCAGGAAGGCAGAUUAUGGAGUUAAAAGAGAAAAUUCAGGAAUUAAAGGUUAGCAACAAUUUAGAAAAGAGGGGCCAAAUUACAGAAUUGAAGUUGCAGCUUAGUACAGCAUACAGAGAGGAAGAGCUAUAUUGGAGUCACAAGGCUAGGACACGGUGGUUACAGGAAGGAGACAAAAACACUGCAUUCUUCCAUGCGAGUGUCAUGGCGGCGAGAAAACAAAGGAAAAUCACUUGCCUGCAGAAGGAUAAUGGACAAUGGUGUAAGACGGAUCAGGAGCUGAGGGAGGAGAUAUGUAGAUAUUACAACCAGAUCAAAUAGAGGAAACACUGCAAGGGGUUCCCACUACUAUAUCUAGACAGAUGAACGAACACUUGAUCCGACCUGUGGGGGAACAAGAGAUACACAGAGCACUCUUCUCUAUGCACCCUAAUAAAUCGCCUGGGACAGAUGGUAUGUCUCCACUUUUUUUCAAAAAUACUGGCAUAUUGUUAGGAUAGAUGUGGUGAAUGCAGUGGUGAGUUUUUUUCAUACUGGCAACAUGCUGAAAGUUGUGAAUGAAACUUUGAUAACUUUGAUUCCUAAGGUAGAAAAUCCAAUCAACUUGACCCAGUACAGACCUAUUAGCUUGUGCAAUACUCUUUAUAAAAUCAUUUCAAAAGUGCUAGCAAAUAAGCUUAAAGUCGUGUUGAACAAAUGCAUUAGUGAGACCCAGUCUGCCUUUGUUCCGAGUAGACAAAUUGUUGAUAAUGUUCUUAUUGCUCAUGAAGUGAUGCAUUUUUUGAAAAAUAAACGAAAAGGAAAGGUUGGUUUCAUGGCUAUUAAGCUUGAUAUGUCUAAAGCCUAUGACAAGGUUGAAUGGAAAUUCAUAGGAAGAAUGAUGGUGAAUAUGGGCUUCUGUCCUAUUUUUGUUAGGUGGAUCAUAUCUUACAUAUCCUCAGUUUCUUAUUCUUUCAAUCUUAAUGGAGCUAAGGUGGGUUACAUAAAACCUAGUAGAGGAUUAAGACAAGGGGAUCCCCUUUCCCCUUACCUUUUCCUAAUUUGUGCAAAAGGUUUGUCCCAUUUGAUAAACACAAAGGUUGAAAAAAAGAUGAUGACAGGAAUCAAGGUGAGCAAGAAUAGUCCACAAAUAUCACAUUUGUUUUUUGCAGACGAUUCUUUGAUUUGCUGCAAAGCUACGGUCCAAGAGACUUAGCAGGUACAAGAGGUGCUAAACAGCUAUUCAGUGGCUUCUGGACAGUUAGUGAACUUUGAAAAAUCAGCCGUGUACUACAGUAGGAACACCCUAAGGACAAAGAGAGCAGCCAUCUGUGAAGUAAUGGGGAACUUAAAAGAGGCAACCAAUGGCAGAUAUCUGGGACUACCAAUGGCCAAGUGUUUGGCUAUAUCAAAAGUGCAGUCACCAAAAAGAUGAAAGGUUGGGCAAACAAAAUGUUAAGCAUGGUUGGGAAAGAGGUACUUAUAAAGUCAGUCAUACUAGCGAUGCCAAACUAUGCCAUGGCGUGUUUCAAAUUGCCAAAAGGACUGUGUGUGGACAUUUGCAAGAGUAUAGCCAAUUUUUGGUGGGGAAGUAGUGAGCAAGAAAGAAACUUCAUUGGGUUAGUUGGAAGAAACUAGCCGAUGUCAAAGGAAGAUGGGGGCUGGGAUUCAGGGAUUUAGAUGCUUUUAAUAAAGCUUUACUUGCUAAGCAACUCUGGAGAAUUAUUUGCUCUCCAAAUCUGCUUAUGAGUAAAGUAAUUAGAGGCAAAUACUUAAAAGAUCACAAAUCCCUGGACAACCACCCUCCCAACUCAGCGUCCUGGGCUUGGAAAAGCAUACACAAAGCAUGGGAAUUAUUGGAAGAAGGCCUAUGGAAGAGAGUAGGAGACGGAACACAGAUCAAUAUAUAGGAGGAUAUAUGGGUGAUAGGAUCAGCGACAGGACGAACCUCAACAACUUGUCCCCCAAAUUGCCACUUACAUACAGUCAGCCAGCUCAUCAGUGAAGAAAGAUGGAAUGAGGAGAUUUUACAGCAAGUUUUCAACCGAGAAGAGAGGGAACACAUAACUAGUAUACCUCUCAGUGUGUUUAAAAGACAAGAUAGAUAUUUCUGGAAUUUUGCGAAAUCUAGAAUCUAUACAGUCAAGACAGGUUAUGCGAGAGCUAUGCAGGCCAGCAAUACAGUAAAGAGUAGACAAAAGCUGGAGGGGAAAACAAGCUGGGAGAUAAGGAAGCAUAGUGUUUGGAAACAACUUUGGAACCUGAACUUAAAGCACAAAAUCAAACACUUCAUCUGGAAGUGUUUGCAGAAUGGUAUAGUUGUGAAUGAUGAUAUCUACAAAAGAACUGGAAAAGGGGAUAAGGUCUAUACAAUUUGUGGAGAAGGUGAAGAAACAGCUGAACACAUGUUUUCAAUUGCCUAAGAACACAACUGGUGUGGAAAAUAGCACCGGUUAGAUGGGAGGAGCUGAGAGACUUACAGAGCAAUUUGUGGAGAUGGUGGGAGGCGGUUGCUCAAACAGGUUCAAAGGAGUUAGGGACGGAACAUAUAGUUUUGACAGCGAAUAUUCUAUGGCAAAUCUGGAAAGCACGGAACAAGAUGGUUUUUGAACAGCAAAGGAGUGGAGCAAAUGAUGUAGUCCAGAGAGCACAGCAAGAAUGGCUCGAGUACGAUGAUGUGUGGCAGCAGGAAGGGGCAAUCAAACAGAAUGAAAGGGCUGGGAGUCAGAUGGAACAGGUGAUGGUACCACGAGCUGAAGGAGUCAUCCGAAUCAGUACGGAUGCAGCACUCAACGCAAGGAUGAUCAGAACAGGAAAAUGAAUCGUGGCACGGCAUUGGACAGGAGAGAUAAUAAGAGCUAAAGGAGUAGUAGAAUGGACGAAAGGUGAAGCUCUAAUGGAAGAAACAUUAACCAUUAGAUUAGCUCUCCAAAUGGCACGGGAAGCCGGCUGGAGGAAGAUAGCUAUCCUAUCAGAUUGCAAGACGGCCACAGAUCACAUUAGAUGCAACAAUGUACAAGAUGGGACUCUAGCAAACAUCUUGGAAGACAUUGCGGAUCUAAUACAGGUUUUUGACUACUGCACAAUAUCUUGGGUGCCUAGAACAUUGAAUAUAGCAAGUCAUAGGCUAGCACUUUUUGCAUCAAAACUAGUUAAUGACAUCGAUUGGGAAGGUGACUUUCCAUGUUGGCUGAUAGAAGCCAAUAGAUUAGAUGAACGGGCUGUUGCCCCUUUUGUAAGUAUUCCUUGUAGUAUCAAGUGUUAAUAUCUAUAAAAGCUAAUAUCGUUUGUAGAAAAAAAAAUAUGAGCAUGCAUAUAAAUAGAACAUUUAUUACUAUUUUUUCAAGGGCUAAUUACAAUUUACCCCAUGUGGUUUAGUGUUUUAUUACAUAACUCCUUAUAGUUUCAAAAACUAUACAUAACCCCUCAUGGUUUAGAUUAAAGUGUCAAAGUGACAGAAAUUACAAUCCAUAACGGAGUCAACUAGAACAUUGAAUAUAGCAAGUCAUAGGCUAGCACUUUUUGCAUCAAAACUAGUUAAUGACAUAGAUUGGGAAGGUGACUUUCCAAUCUAUAAACGGGCUGUUACCCCUUUUGUAAGUACUCCUUGUAGUAUCAAGUGUUAAUAUCUAUAAAAGCUAAUAUCGUUUGUAGAAAAAAAAAAUAUGAGCAUGCAUAUAAAUAGAACAUUUAUUACUAUUUUUUCAAGGGCUAAUUACAAUUUACCCCAUGUGGUUUAGUGUUUUAUUACAUAACUCCUUAUGGUUUCAAAAACUAUAAAUAACCUCUCAUGGUUUAGAUUAAAGUGUCGAAGUGACGGAACUUACAAUCCAUAACGGAGUCAACUAUAAUUUCAAAAAUACCCCUAUAUAAAGUUAAAAAUUAUUUAUUAACCACACGGGGUUAUGUAUAUAUAUUAAAAAUCAUAAGGGAGUUAUAUGGUAAAUCACUAAAGCAUGACAGGGAUUAUAUGGUAAAAUAUAAAAUCAUAUAGGGUUAGAAUGUCAUGCAUAUUAUUUUUAUAUAUUUUGGUCAUUUUAGUUUUAAAACAAAGGUAAUUUCGAUAUUUUCAUAGGUUCCGUUAUAGAUGAUCAUUUUUAUCACUUUAGCUUUUAAAACUAGUGGGAGGGUUACAUAUAAAUUAGUUAUACCACAGAGGGAUAAAGUAUAAUUUGCCAUUUUUUCAAAUAAUGCUAGAUGAUUGCCACCGGAAGGUGUUAAAAGCUUGAAAAAAAAAAUUGUCGACAGAUGAAAAACCAAAAAGACUUGACCACCACGCCAAGAUCACGCGUGAACAUCCAAAUCAAGGAGAAAUUUCUAAAAUUAUUAUGAUUUUUAAAAAAAAUUCUACAAAGGGGGUAUUUUGUGUACUGGUUUCUGUUUUUGGAGUCUUCGCAUUCAUCAAAUGUGAGCUCAAGGAACUCGCAUUUGAUGAUUGCGAACUCUCCUUAAAUUUUCUACCACCGAAAUUAAAAAAAAAUCAAAAAAAAACCGACCUCGCAAUUCACAAAUGCGAGUUAUAUGUACCUCGCAUUUCUGAAAUGCGAGGUCAUGUACCUCGCAUUAAACCACAAAACCUCCGUUGUCCAGUGGGCGCUGCAAGCUGCAAUUUUACAGUUAUGAUUAUUGCUAGUGAUCAAGUAUUCACUAUGUACCUAUGUUGUUUGCUUUCCAAUAACAGGAUUCCAGAUUUUGCCUAAAAAUUUUUCUUUUUGCUUCAGUUGUAAUGCCAUUUUCUCUUGCUUUAUGAAUUCAUUGCAAAUUGUAAAUGCAAUGCAAAUUGCUACAAAUUUUACUACUUAAGUCUCUAAAUUCAUCACAACUGGAAAAAAAAAAAAAAAAAGAUCCCAUAAUAUUGACAUCAAUAGUUGAUAAUAAUUUGGGGGAAUAAAUCUUAACCAAUCUAGCAAGCUUUUUGGUUGGACUUUAUCUAGCAUCCGAUAAAUACGAAUUCCUAGAAAAUUGCAUAAAAAAAUUCUAAUAAUUUUUAAAUUUGUUUAUUUGUUAAAUUCAUUCUUAAUAAUUUACCAUAAACUCUUUGUUGUUAAAAAAUAUAUGUAGCUGAUGUUGUAAAGUGUAUUAAUCUAGUACGUCAACAAUUUUUGCAAAGUGCAUUAAUCUAGUAAUUCAAUAAUUUAAGUAUCUAUAAACUAAUUGAGAAUUCGUAGUUACUCAACUACUUAUAUUAAAAGUAACAUAUUAUAUACCACAUAAAAAAGAAAAGUUAGCAAUUAUUAUUUAUAGUGAAAUAAAAAAUAAGAAUGAACAAGAAUAGUAUUUUAUUAUUUUGUUAUUGAUACUACUAAUAAUUGAUUAAUCAAUUUCUCUAAUUUGCUAUUAUGUAGUGGAAAAGUUAAAUUUCUUAAAUGACAUUUAUAAUACAUUUAUAAAUAGUUGUAAAUAAAUGUAUUUAUGUAUUGAUAAAAAAAUCUGUAAAUGUAUAAAUGUAUUAUAUUAUAUAUAAUACGUAAUAUAAAUAUAUUUAUAAAUGUAUAAAUUAUAAAUCAAUAUUAUAUAAAUCUAUAAAUUAUAAUUUAUAAAUAUAUAUUAAUAUUAUGUAUAAAUGUAUAAUUAAUAUUAUUUGUAAUUAUAAUUUUUAUUGUUUAAAUAUUUAUAUACAUUUAUGCAUUUAUAGCAUCAAAACUUAACUAAUGAGAGGGAUUUAUUCAUACUCCAUUUUAUUUUAAUAGUGAAAACGCCUUUUUACGCGAAAAUCGACAUUUUUAGGUGAAGAUUCCUGGUUACUCAACAUUUCACUUAUUCAAAUUGCUAAGCAUACUCUUAAUUCCGAUACUUUUUUACGCGAAUGUCGACAUUUGUAGAUGCCAACCCCGGUUACUCGGUAUGUGAAUCAUUGGAGUAGAAGAUUAAUAUAUAUAUUUUUUCGCUCUCUCUUUUUUUUUUUUUUUUGAAAUGAUUUCUUUUCCCUCUAACAUCAUUAAAGGAAGAAUUUAGUCUUGUUUUGACUAUAUCAAUCACUUACUUAUAAAAUUAAGUGAAAAUGAGAAAUAUCAUUAACCUUGCAAAUUUGUAAGCAUAAUUUUUCUUAUUUAACCGAAUAUACUUUCUAAGCAUAAUAAUUCUUUCCAAACAAAAUAAGGACUAAACCUUCCACAAUACAUAUAGCAUUCUAUCCAAUGGAACAGUUUGAGCACUUACAAUGUGAACAUUUUGGCCAUUAAUAUUGGAAACUAUUUUUAGAAAAAUUUUGACAGAGUUCCCCAUAAAAAUGGACAAAACUCCCUGCCAACAACCUCAAGACAAUAUUUCCAAAUAAAAGUUUAAGCCAUAGACAAUCAAAUUCAUGCAUUUCAAGACACAAUCACCACAAAAUGUAUGUAAUCCGUCCCCCACACUUAAAAUCUACAAUGUCCUCAUUGUAGAGGAAGGUACAAGAAAACAAAACUUCCCACUUGGUAAGUGGUAAUGCAGUUUCAAGCCCUUAAUCCUCACGACCAUCCAAAUUCAGUCAUGCUUGAAACAGCAAGGGUACUAAACAGUAUAAGUAGUACAAGAAAAUCCAAUAAGAAAACUACAAAGUUUGAACCGAACACAAUAAAAGAAAAAUAAAGCAAUAAAAGAUGGAAUCCUCGAAAGGUCUUCAUGACUUCGCAGAACGAGGGUCUACUACCUCCUCAGCUCCCUGAGAUGUACUACUAGGCCCCUCCUCUUGAUGAGGGGUAGGAGUAGGUGAGCGGUGAAUGUGGAAAUGAUCUUCCAUCGCUCGAAGACGAUGAUCCUGUCUGUCUAGUCGCUCAGUCAUCAUCCGCUCGGUCUGGUCAAUGCGCUCCAUGACACAUGUCUCCAUGCAGCAUAUGGCAUUGAGGAUCUCUUGCAACUUGGAUCGCGGCGGAGGCGGUGGUCGUGGAGUGGGAGGAGGAAGGGUCUGCUGUGCCUCCGUCUCUUGAGCUUACUCUUGUUGUUCAGUGUGAGGUGGAGGCUGAGUGGAGGUCGAAGCUUCUCCUGUGUCCCGAACUAGAGCAGCUCCAAAAUCCGUAGGAAUGCCUAAAGCCUUGAGUAUAGAGGCAUUGACCUCUUCAGCAGACCGAGUCACCACUGCUCGUUCGGUUCCAAGAGGAACCUUGAGCUUCUCAACAAUGAGGGAGAGGAGACGGGGGAACCCGAAACAUGUAUCACCGGUCCUUAUGCAAGCUGUGGUUCUCAUGUAACUGAUAAUGAUGCUGGGCAGAGGAAUUCCAGUCAUAUGAUUACCUAUACCAUGCAUCAUUUUAUCGAGGAAGUAUAGGUCACUGUUGCAGAGCUCCCGUUUUUCACUCCGUUUUGGUACCACAUUGAAGGCAAAAAGAUAGAAAAUCAGGUAUGCUCGAAGGAAUCGGCAUAUACGGUGAGCUUUUUCGAACUUUCUCGCUCACGGUAUUGACCCUUAAGACGUGCCACAGCUUCUCCCACUUGCCACUUGCCAUGGGUCACGUGCCUUGAACUCCUUAGUCAAUUUGAUAUCUUCUCCUGAGUCUUUGAGUUUGGCCCACCUGUUAACUUUGUCUCGAGUGAGAGCCACUCGUUUGCCUCGGACCCAAGAUUCGAUCAGAUUGCCACUAUGGCUCUGUUUGUCUUCCACAUUGGCAUAAAACUCUCGAAUCAGGUUAGGAUAGUAAUGCUUGGGCAACUUGAGUAUGUCCUCCCAACCAAGUCGCUUGAAGGCCGUGGAGAUCUUGUAAUGGUCAUCCACCUCCGGCGCCAAAGUGCUUCUCAACUAUUAUUUCUUUGUCUAAACCGGCUUCGUACCACUGCUGAUUCUCGAUUGAUGUGAAACGUGUGGUAUCGUAGUCCGGAGGUGGUUCGUCACGACUGGUAGAUGCCGUCUUACGCCUAAAACGAGGUGGGGACUGAGGAGAAGGGGAUUCCUCUUCAGGCGACUCCUCUUGUAAAGAGGGUGUAUGUUCCUCACUCGAUGAAGGUGUAGGAGUGCGAAUCACUGUCCUUCGUGUGUGAGCCAUGAUGCCUGGAUUACAAACAAGAUUCAACACAAAUUAGAAGCAAUACAAAACAUAACAAACACAAUUGUCUUAAUGAGUUAAGAAAAUUUCGGCAGAGUUUCCCCUUGAAAAAGGGCUAAACUUCCUACCAGCUGUAUCCAAAAACAAGCACAGAACCUGCUUAAAUCAUUUUAGAUACAGUGGUGGGCAUGUAUAAUAUGAAUUUCAAUCCUCAUUGUCAACACAUGGUUUGAACAAUCCACUUUUCGAAUUUGUGAAUCCCAUCUUUCAAUUAGAAGCUCAUUUAAAAGUCCAAUCUCAUGAGAAUUGAUGCAUAUUUCAACAAUAGAGUAUAAUCUCCAAGUGAGUAUGGCCUAUUAAUUAAUACCAAAUUACGAACUAAUGAGCUAGCAUUCUUCUUUAUGAGUGCCAAUUAUCUCUAAGAAUAAGGAAUAUUCAAUCAAAAAUUUCACAUGCUUAAGCUUAAAAGUUUAGAAAAAUAAACAAACAGAUGACUAUAAUAACAAUUUUGUCAAUUUUAAGCUUACAAGUAGUUGACAUAGAGAAGUAAGUUCAUGCAUUUAAGAGUUCAUGCGCAUAAAGCUAAAAAUUAAGAAGGAAAAGCUACACAAUAAUACCAAAUCCACAAAUCCAAAAAACCAAGGAUUAAAAUAGUUGUAACAAUCUAUUUAAACAUAAUGUAGCACAAUUCUAAAUAAAAAUUACAACAAUUAAACAAUUACCAAAAUAUUCACAAAAAUUAAAAAAUAAUGAAAACUAGUACGUGCCUUAAAUUGCAAAUAAAGUUGUAAAUUGUUACCUCAACUGUGUUCAAUGAUGGAGGAAGAUGAUAAAGAUGCAAAAAGUGAAACAUAAACGACCCAAAUUAGUCCCCAAAUUAAAGAAAUGGAUUUCGGCCCUAAGUUUUUGUUGAAGAUCAAAACACCUCAAAUUUAUGUUUUUGAUUCUAGAAAACUCAGGGUUUAAGCUCAAAAGAGGUUGAGAAAUGGUUUUAUGAUGAAAAAGCAGAUGAUAAUUGGUCGAAGUGGAAGAUUGGUGAGGGUGGGGAAGGGUUUCGGUUAGAGAAAAGAGAGAAAACUGAAAAAAAAUGAGGAACCGAGCCCGCGGGUGAAUUCAUAUCGUGAACAAAUUCGAGGUCGGAUCUAACUGAGUUUUGUUGGAUCCGAGGUCGUAUUCACAAUGUUCAGGUUUUGAGUUCGACAGAUCCGACCUGUCGAACUCAAAACCUGAACAUUGUGAAUACGACCUCGGGUUUGUUGGUCGGAUCUGUUUUAUCAUCCCUCUGAUCGAAAGGGCUCGGAUCAUCUAUUGCGGUAGUUCAGACGAGCCCUCGGAUCUAUUCGAGUUUUGUUGGAUCCGAGGUCGGAUUCAUAAUUUUCAGAUUUUGAGUUCGACAGAUCCGAGGUCGGAUCUGUUUUAUCAUCCCUCGGAUCUGAAAGGGCUCGGAUCAUUUAUUCCGGUAGUUCGGACGAGCCCUCGAAUCUAUCCAAGUUUUGUUGGAUCCGAGGGCGGAUUCACAAUUUUCAAAUUUUGAGUUCGACAGAUCCGAGGUCGGAUCUGUUUUAUCAUCCCUCGGAUCCGAAAGGGCUCGGAUCAUCUAUUUCGGUAGUUCAGACGAGCCCUCGGAUCUAUCCGAGUUUUGUUGGAUCCGAGGUCGGAUUCACAAUUGAAAGCCAUGGGUUCCAAUGAUCCAAGCGCGGAUCCUUUUUUGGAUCCGAGCUCGGAUUGUUUCGUUUCUGCAUCAUUUGCAGAAACUGCAAUUUUUUUCAAACUUUUUCUCCCAUUUUCACCAAAUUUCGAAAUACACAUUUGACAACCUGUUCAUCAAAUCUAACCCCCCACACAAGUGUAAUAUACCAAAAACACAAUAUCCAACCUAUCAAAACACAUCAAACAUAUCCACAUUGCAAAUCAAGGGGUGAGGUUCUUUGAUCUUUUUUACACAUUUACACCAAAAUGACACCUUUAGGUCCCGUAUGCACAUUGAAUGAGUCCAUGAGCAAUUAUAAACAUGUUAUCACCGGAACUCACUUGAACAUUCAUGAAAUGCACAUUGUAUAUGCUCCAUGAAUAUAUAUAUAUAUAUGUUUAUAUAUAUACAUCUACUAUCUUUUGAAAAAAUUUUGACAGAAUCUCCCCUUAAAAGUGGACUAAACUCCCUGCCAGCAAAUCCAAAAUAGACAACAUUUAAUCUAAACAAUAUUUCCGACAACUUGUCCAAAUACAAAACACAAAACUACUACAAGUCCCACACAUUUUUCUCCCCUACACUUAGAAUAAUAUUCAUAACAGGAGCACACAAUUAGAGUUUUGAAUAUCAAUGAUGUCCAAGUUUUUCAUGAGUGCCACAUCCUCUGGGUUUGUGUGCUCUUUGUGUGCGACGUGGCUGGGCUGGCAUCACCAUAUCGACUUGCGUAAUCUGUGACUCAAGUCUUUGAUCAAGUGCUUGGGUACUUUGGCCUGCAUCUGUACCUCCCACAUGUUGUUCACCACUGCCAUGAUGCUCAUCUGUAUUGGGCGUAAACUCCUCCAUAAGUACUGAGGACCUAAAAUGACCAAUAGGUCCCGUAGAGGUGCCCUGGUGCUCAGUAGCCUGUGACCUUCCAUCAAAUCCAGUUUGGACGGUGGGUUCUGGUGAUCGGAAUCUACGACGGCGUCCACCGCCAUGCUGACCUCCGUGAACAUUCUUAGGAGCUCUUUCAACGCGACGGGGGUCAGCUGGCAGUGGAAUUUGCUGUGGCACUCGUGGAGGGCGAAAUGCAAGUCGGGAUGACUCCCCUACAGUUUCUAAUGUCAUUGAUGCAAAGUCCUUCAUUGCAUUAAAAUAAUUCGCGUGCUGUUCGUCACUCUAUGUUAGAGAGGUCUCUGCCAUGUAAUACACCUGAGCCAUAGCAUCCAUCUGGAGUGCAAAUAUUUGAAUGAAUAAGGAUUAAUAGAGUUAAAUCUAUAUCGACAACUUGUCCGGGAAUCUAUUUCACUAGUUGUAAGGAAAACUUACCAGAUAUUAUGCUCUGGCGCUAUCACCCUGAAAGCCCUCCGGAAAAAUGAGUUGCAUAGUAGGAUUUGAAACAUAUAGCACUGUCCGCUCGCGAUACCACUGUCGAUACUCAUCGGAUGGAUAUGUAGGAUCUUCAACUACAACACCAUCUUCCACAUGUGAAUGACGAUUAGUCCACACCUCAACAUAUGCUCGAUGUGCAGUUAACCAGUCUUGGUUCCCCUUGCCACGACGAUCAAGAGAAUGCAGUGCCUGUUGAUUUUCGGUCAAUCUUAGAUCAGGCACGGGCAGAUGAUAUCCGAACUGUCUCAUAACCCGAUUCGGAAGAUGUGGCUCGACAACUUCCCAACAUAUGAGAUACAUGACAUAUCUCCAAAUGCGGCGUCCUGCAGUACAAUAUGCAGGCAGAGAAGCGAGAAUAUCGUCCGAGUAUGGCUGCUAUAUGAACUGCAAGACCAAUAAUUAUUCAAUGACAUAACCUUCAACCAACAUAUGACCCUAAUUUUAAUGAAAAAAUACUCCGAUAUAACGGCAAAGUCCAAUCACAAAAGCAUCAAAGGAUGUUAGUGUACCUCUCGGGCACGUAAGCCCGUCAACUGAUCUCGAAAUAUAGAUACAAUAUGUCUUGCCACUCUGUGUACAUCAAAUUGAACAUUCCACCUGCAGGAACGAAUUCGAGCCGUUGUGUCUUAAAGGCGUCAAUUGAUUUGUAUUAGUAUUAUAGACAUAUAUUUGAUAUACAUACCGAACUCCAUAUGGAUCAGGAUAGUGCUCUAAUGGAUGCACUCGAUCAGGGCGAACUGUUGGUAUACAUUCCCACGCCCAUAGCUGUAAUUAAAUUGUAUUUGAAUAUAUUAAUUGAUCAUUUAUAAUUCUAUAGUUAAAUCUAGACACGUUGAACGAGACAAAUGUACCUGAAGCAAUAUUAAUGGUCCCGCAAUGGACGAUUUAGAGGAAGAUGUGGCGCUACACAAUGAUCAAUACAGAGUUGCUAAUAUCGCACUACCCCAACUAUAUUGCCCAACAGUUUCCAAAUCUCGUAGUAAUGGCAUAUACAAUAACGGGACUUUAUUACCAGAUUUAUCUGAUAAUAAAUGACCGCCUAAUAUCAGGAGCAGGUAUACGCGGGCCCCUGUCUACAUUGGACAUCCGAAGCAUCGGGUGCCAACCCUGCAUCUAAUACUCUAGAUAAACACCCCAAUUUGAGCUGUCGCCCAUCAAAAUCUGAUAUCGUUGGAGAAAAAUCAAGCAACUCCUCACAUAAAUUCAUCCACUCCUGAACACUAUAAGAUAUAUCUAUCCCUAUAACUGGAGAACCAUCUAUGAUAGACCCCACAGAACCUCAACAUCCUGUAAGGUAACUGUAGUCUCUCCAACGGGGAGAUGAAAUGUAUGAGUCUCGGGCCGCCAUCGCUCCACUAAACUAGUGAUCAAAGCAUGAUCGAGCAUCAUAUAUCCACAGUCAAGCACCCCUUCAACGCCAACCAAUCGAAUAUAAUGCCGAACAGUCUCAGGGAUAGGUGUAUGAUCCCAAAAAUACCUAUCACAUCGUCUGACAUCAAACUGAUCACCUAGAAUGUGCCCGUCAAAUAUAGAAUGUGCCUGGUGUGCAGUGCCUGCUGAGAUAAUAUCAUACACAAAUGGGCCCGGAUGCAGGACUGCCCCCGUAGGAAUGUCGGCCAUACCUCUGACAACAAUAGCUGCAAAUACAUUAUGUAACAUAUAAGCCUACACACAUUUGAAUAGAAGAAUAGGAGUUUCUAAAACUAAUGCAACACUUUAAAUACAGACCUGCUAAAAACAAGGUCAAAAAUAUGACCCGAUUGAAACAUUGAUCAACAACAUAUAUCUCAUAAAUCAUAUUAAUUCCAUAAUCCAAAAAAUUACAGAUAUCAUAGUACACUGGUUCCUAUCCCUAAAACUGAUGAUAUCAAGCACUAAAUUUUGGACAAUUUCUUCUAUUAUGACCUGAUUGAUGACAAUUUGUACAUCUUCUUGGCUCCUCUGGGUCUCUCUCAUCCAUCUCAUUCCGAAUUCUUCUAGCUCAUACCCUUCCAGCCCGACGUGCAACAUAUUUACUAUUAUCUGCCCGUAGCUCCCAAUCUGGUUGGAACCAAGUAUCCGGAUAUGGCAAAGGGCUAAACUUUCCUGAAUACUGCACCGCCCACCGUCUUUUUGUAAAUUGGAGAUCUACAAGUGCACCAGGAUUAUCACCUCGGUGCCUGCACACGGCCAUCACGUGCGAACAGGGAAGUCUGUAGCACUGCCACUUACCACAAGAGCAUGUUUUAUCAAAAUACUUUACCGUUAGUGUAUUACCCCCUUUGCCAUCCACACGUCUACCAGUCACAACUUUGUACACCCCCGAUGAGCCAUCGAACUCAACAACCCUAUGGGUUCCCGCUUUCAGAUCCGAAUUCUUAAACCGCCGCCAUAUCUUUGGAGGAAAUGGAUUACGGCAAUGUCUAACAUCCUCUCUUCUUAUUUUAAACAACUCAACUGUCCGAUGAAAUGUCAUAUCAAUACAAGCCCGGAUAGGCAAAUGACGUGCUCCUCUAAGUACAUUAUUAUAACUUUCGGAAAUGUUGGUUGUAAGAAUACCCCAACGGUUCUCACCGUCAUGUGUUAGACACUACUUCUCAGCUCCAAUGUUAGACAGAUAAGUCCAUGCAUCUGGAAACAUGUUCCUCAAUUCUCGUUUGAAUGCCCGCCACUUGCGCAAUUGUCUGGCUUUUCCCAUUGCCCAACAUAACCUUCUAAGGUGCAAGCCUUUGAAGUGAGUCAUUAGGUUACUCCUAACGUGUCGUAGACAAAAUCUAUGAAAGGCCAAAGGUUCUUGCCAAUAGUCAUAAUGUGUCAUGGCAUGGAUGAUACCAUUAUGCCGAUCCGAAAUGACACAAAUAGGAUACCGAUCACGGGCCACAUUGUAUCUUAGUUGUUCCAUGAACCAAAACCAACUAGAAAUAGUUUCUUCGUCGAUAAUGGCAUAGGCUAGCGGAAUAAUCUUGUUGUUGGCAUCUUCCGUUAACUGCAACAAGUAGUUUGCCUUUAUAUUCGCCUCGCAGAUGAGUGCCAUCAACACAUAUAACCGGUUGACACAUGUGAAAUGCAUCAAUAGCCGGUCCAAAAGCUCAGAAGACAUACUUAAAUGUCUUCACACGAUCCGUACUAUCAGAAUGGUGCAACCACCUGAUCACAGAUCCCUGAUUUGACUGCAUAAGUGCAUCAACAUAUUUCGGUAGUUCAGUAAAAUUGGCAUCCCAAGAACCGAAUAUAAGUUCAAUAGCUUUACGUCUGCCGUACAAAGCCUUUUUAUAAGAGACACCCACCUUCAAAACUUCCUUAACAUGGCUUACUAUAUUCUUUACUUUAAACCCAGGAUCAUCUUCAAUGCUACGAACUAUGUGUCUAGCAAUAACCGAAAAUGUUCUUAAAUGACAUUGAAUUCAACAUUUGGGAAAAAAAUCUUUUACUCACAUACAUUUUUUUUGUAUAAAAUAUUGACCUACGAAAUUAAGAAAUAAACAAAUUUUAACUAAUCUAGUCUACUUAUUUAAACAAUUGUUUAAAGAAAAAAAGGAAGAAUUUAAAAAGAAAAUUAACAAAUAUGAUACAUUAAAAGGGGUAUAUUUUUCCAAACAUAUCAUUCAAGAGGGCAAAAUACCUAUUAUUAUAGUUUAGGGGAUAAAUUGUAACUGGGUAAAUAGUUUAUAGGGAUUUUUUUGCAUUUAACCCUUUAUCAAACGAUUAUUACGUGAUUAUUUUUCUUAUAGAGUACAAGAUAUAAUUUGCUAUAAAUGCAAAAAUAAAGAUCUAGCAUAAUAAUCAUUUCCAAAUUUUAUUUGUUUAUUGUAAUUUAUUAUUCAUAAUAGAUAUAUAUUUUUUGAAAAAAAUUACUUUUUAUUAUAUAUAUUUUGAAAAAUAUAUAUAUUACACAUUGUCAUUACUUUUUUUUAAAAAAAAAUUGAUAGAAUCUCCCCUUAAAAGUCUAAUUACUUUUUUUAAUGCUCACAAGAGCUUAGGGAAGGUUUUUAUUGUGAAAAAUUGGAAGUUUUAUGGAUGAAAUGGAAAAUUAGGGUUUCGGUGAGAAGAGGGAAGAGGAAAUCUGGAAACUGAGGAACCGAGCCCUCGGUUUCAGACAUAUUGCGAAACGAUCCGAGCACGGAUCGGUUCUUGAAGUCCUCGGAUCCGACAAGCCUCGGAUCCGUCUCACCAGGAACACAGACGAUCCCUCGGAUCCGGCCGGGUUUUCUUGGAUCCGAACUCGUAUCUUAUGGAUCCGGGGUCGGAUUUGUCUGGAUUGACUUCGAUCCGACCUCGGAUCUUACUUCCUCUGCACUAAAUGCAGAAACUGUGAUUUUCCAAACUUUUUCUCCCUUUUCCAAACUAAUUGUCAAACUAACCAUGGCAAGCUAAUGCGACUCAAACCGAAAGAACAAGAACGAUUAAUAAAUUGCCAAAACAUAACAGCCAGCUCAAUUCAGCAAAACAAAAAUCCUGUUGAAACAACAAACAAACUGACAAGCAAAAAAAAAAAAAGAUAAAUUCAUACCUCUUAUGGCAAAUUGGGAGGGAGGGGGGGAGAUGCACAGAUUCCAGACAGCUUGGCAGAAAUGGGACAGCUUGGUUUCAGCGAAUAGCUUCCGACGACAAAGAUGUGAGGGAUUUCCUCUGCCGAGAUGUGAGCGAUUUCGUCUACAAUACAAUGGCAAUGGCGGGGAACUGAGAUGCUUGGAGCACUGACUACCUCAGCAAAGGAGACGAGAAAGUGACCUCCAAUUUCUGUUGGCUACGAGACAUUUUUGAAUUGGGUUUCAGACUGAGUAUCUCGCAUUUGUCGAAUGCGAGGUACCUCACCUCGCAUUUCACAAAUGCGAGCUUUGUGUUGGCUUUUUUCUUUUCCGCACACCAUUUCUCAUCUUUUUCCGGAACAAUAACCUCGCAUUUGUGAAAUGCGAGGUCAGCUUUUUUUUUUUUUUUUUAAUUUCGGUGGUAGAAAAUUUGAGAGUUCGCAUUCAUCAAAUGCGAGUUCCUUGAGCUCGCAUUUGAUGAAUGCGAAGACCCCAAAAACAGAAACCAGUACACAAAAUACCCCCUUUGUAGAAUUUUUUUAAAAAUCAUAAUAAUUUUAGAAAUUUCUCCCAAAUCAAGGCACUCCGAUUAUCAACAGUAACAGGUUGUUGCCACCACCCCCUUAUGCAAAAUCACCCCAAACAUCCAAAGCUACACCCACCAACAAUGAAACACUAUAGCGGCUAAUACUACACUACCAAUGAAAUGUAUACAAAAGCAACUAGUACUACAAUGCCAAUAAAAAAAAAUGUAUACAAAAACCACGUCCUUUUUUUUUCAGUGCAAAUAGAUGAAUUAUUAGUAUUUGCGUGGCUAAGGAGGCCUUGAUGUAGAAGAUAAAAUUGAGAUUUCAGAAAUUAGAGAUUCUUGGCUCAUUUUCCCUUAUCCCCUCCCUUGCUAGAAGAAUAAAAAUAACUUUAAAAAUUAGUAUUUGCGUAAAUCACAAAAGCACAGAAAGAUUACAUCAUUGAAGAGGAACAAGGAUCAAAACGGAAUUUUAUUGGGAAGGGACUGAAUGGAUGGAUAGAUAGAUGUCUGUGAAUCCACAAUAUAUAGUCUGCUGAAUGAUACAAAACAUACCAAAUAUGAAGACAAGCCACUCACAAUCAUGUGAAGCCACUAUUCGACCAUGUUAGACACCUCGAAAUGCUGUCUUGCAAAGAUUCCUACACUACAUAAAGGCACUAAUUUAUCAAGGGCUUCAGCAGCUUCCAAGUCUUGAGUGUUCGUUGCUUUGCCAACUCCUCCUACUGAAAUAUCACCCGUUGUAAUUUGAGCUGGUGCAUUCAGUCCCAUUGAUCUGGCUUUAACCAUUAUUCCCCCAAACUGAACCAUGUUUGCAUGGCUAUGUAGACUACUAAACAGAAGUGAUGGCCAAUAUCCAACAACUAACCCUGGCCCGAUUUCGAGCCACCAAUGCCCAUGCUUAGCAUCCUAAAAAAUGAAACUUGAGUAGUAUAAAGACAGUGUGUUUGGGCAGGAGAUUAUUUGAAAUAUUACUUGACUAAUGUAGUACUAUUAUAACGUGACAUACGUAGAUGGAACUACAAAAUAUAUCGUGAGGGUUUAAGCUUUAAUAUAUCUAAACUUAAAUGUAUAACCUAAAAUAUUUUUGAGUUUUUGUAGGGGUGAGAUUUUAAAUUUAGAAUAAUUUACAUAUAACCCCCUGUGAUUUCAUCUGUUACUACAUGAUCCUUCAACGCUUCAAAAUGUCCACUUCACUUCCUAUGGUUUUAUAUGAAGUUGAAGCUUGAUGGAAAAUAGUUAUGUAAUGUCAUUAGUUGAAUUAUCAAUAGUACCCUUACUUAAAUGUUAAAUCAAUCAACGGCUUAACUACCUUAUAUAAAACUAUAGAGAGAUUACGUCGAUAAAUGCAAAAAUCACAAGAGGUAAAAUGGAUAUUUAUAUAAAUCAUAAGAGGAUUACAAGGAUGUUAAAGCACGUUUGGUAUAAAUGCCUAAACUGGUUGUGCAUUCCUUCCAUUUUCCACUAAAACUACAAGGGAGUUAUUUGGCUAUUUUAAAGCCUUAGGAGGGUCUAUCAUUUUGUAAAACUACAGGGGGUCAUAAGUAAUUUACCCUUCAAUUUAUAAAGAGUGAUUUUGAAAAAUUUUUAAUCUCAUAAGGGAGGAAACUUAAAUUUUAAUAGACUUGAAAGAGGCUCUUCCCACAUCCCCUAGUUCCAUCUUUGGUGAUAUAUAUGAGAUUUUCUUUUUAAAAAAAUUUAAUAGUGAUCAAAAAAAAUAAAAAAAAAUAAAAAAAUGUGUUUGUAACACAAGCAAAUAAUAUUUACAAAACAAUACCAGUCCAAACAUGAUUACUACUCUAUCAAAUAUGCCAAAAAAAAAAAGAUAUUUGACAUUUGAAUAAAAUGAGUUGUGACAUGAUUAGUUCAAGCUUGUUACAUAUGAGUUUAUUAAUUGGGACCUUCUUUUACAUAAAUUACGCGUCCCACCAUGGGUAUCCUCCUUCUUUGAGAAGUACAGACGUGUAAAUAUAGACUAUAUCUAUUACUAUAUAAUGUAAUCGUAUUUUAACUAAAAUCACAAAUGUCGAUCAGAAACUAUUCAGAAUAAAAAAAAAGGGCUACAUGGAUAAAUAAAAUUAACUUUGUAAAAAUGUUUUUCUAUUAGAUACUUUCCAUAAUUUGUAUCACAAAAAUAAAAAAGUAGAAAGGAUUUGAACUUCUUCCAAAUUAAAAUUUGAAGAAAAUCUCAAAACAUAUAUAGUCAAAAUGAAACUGGAAAAAAAAAGAUUUCCAAAGAUUCAAAAUAAAAUAUCUAUGAAUCUAAAUAAAUGUUUUUAAUUGUAUAGUUGAUACAAUUUUGGUAAUAUCUUCUAUAAUAAGGUAAAGCCAAUAAUUGUAAAUCUUCAACAUGUAUAGUAUAUGCCAAACCAAUCAAAUAUGUACAACGAAUGUGAAUUUCUUUUAUUUAUAACCUCUUUCAUGUAGAAAAAAAUCUUUAUUAAAUUAGAUUGGUUUUAUGAGUACUAAGUGAUUAAAUUAUAAAAUAUUAGAAUGUCAUGACUAUGUCAGUUAUCAAAUGGCAUUGCCUAAGAUCUACUUUAGUAUCUUAAGAGUGAGGGUUAAACCAAUAGUUAGUUAAUAAAAUAAUUUAAAAAAUGGAAAGUCAUGGUAACUAAACUAUGAAAAAUUAUGCAUGUAUGAUAGAAAAUGUAACUUUAAUUUCCAAAAAAAUUUCAACGUUUAUUGCCAUAAAGAGAGAAAAUACUAAAGUAAAUCGUUGAUAAGUAUAAAAAAGAAAAAAAAUAGUUGUGUUUUCUUUAUGCAACUGAAAUAAAAAAAAUUAAAGAAUAAAAUAGUGAGAAGGAGAUCACUUCAUGUGUUGCACACCAAAAUAGACAACAAACUAAAGAAUGGAUGAAAAAAGAAAGUCUACAAAGCUUAUACACCAUGCAACGCUUCACUAUUUUGACCAAUUUUGUUAUUAGUCAUGUAAGAGUUUGUAGAAUUUUGUCCAAUCUUUUUGCUUAAAAUUUAAAAUUUGAUGGUGUGAUAUAUAUCUUUCAACUUAAUCAAUUGUAUCUCUUGAUAAAGCCAUGGCCAUGGUUUUUCACGUGACAGUGUAUUCCUGUCUUUUUUCUUUUUAUUUACUCUAAGAACUAAAACAUAUGACCAAUUCAACUUUAAACAUCAAUAGAUUCUUUGACAUUUGAUUUUUCUGGCCUAUAAUGACAUUAAUUUUGAUUAAGUUCAAUAUCAUAUACUUAAGGGCAAAUUACACUUUUCCCCCCUAUAGUUUAGUGUUUCUUUAUAUAACUCUUCUAUGGUUUCAAAAACUAUAUAUAACUCCCUCAUGGUUUGGAUUAAAGUGUCAAACUAACAGAAUUUGCAAUCCAUCACAAAGUCAACUAAAAUGUCAAAAAUAUUCCCAUGUAAAGUUGAAAAUUACUUAUUCUUCAACUUACUUAUUAACCACAAGGGGAUUAUAUAUAUAAAAACCAUAAGAGGGUUAUAUGGUAAAGUACUAAACCAUAAGGGAGUUAUAUGAUAAAAUAUAAAAUCAUAUGAGAUUAGAGUGUAAUGCAUAUUAUGUUUAUAUAUUUUGGUCAUUUCAGUCAUUUUAGUUUUUAAACAAUGGUAAUUUCGAUAUUGUCCUAGUUUUCAUUACAGAUGAUCAUUUCCGUCACUUUAACACUUAAUCCAAACUAUAAGGGAGUUAUAUAUAACUUCUAAAACUAUAAAGGAGUCAUGUGAAAAUUAGUUAUACCACAAGGGGGUAAAGUAUAAUUUGCCCUAUAUUUAAGCAAGUUCAUACACAUGUGAAGCACAUGCAUUUUGCUAGUAACCCAACAUAUUCUUUUUUUGUGGAGAUAUUAAAGGUGGCAUGCACUUGCUAACUGCCCUUGUCACUUGCCUUUAAUUUUUUGUGAUCCAUUACUUUGAUGGAAGUUGUGUGGUUUAGCGGAGUUCAAGAAAUGAAGCUUCAUUUAAAGCCAGUUGUUAUGAACUAGUAACAGAAGUUUCGUUGUUGUCAACCAAAAAAAAAAAAAGUUUAGUUGUUGUCAACAAAGGAAAAAUAAAUAAAUAAAUAAAAAAUCCUGAUGCCCUGACAGAGAGGAGAAUCUGACAAUCAAGUAACUAUAUCAAGAAUAGUUGGUAAGCCAGAAAGAUAUUAUAAUGAGGAUGAUAUACAACCAUUCGUAUGUUAUGACAUACUGUUGCCUAAUUUGAGCAGGCAAAUAAUAACAGGGUUGUACUUUUCUUAGUUUCAUGUGUCGAAUGCAAAUAUGCGAAUUUAGUUUCAUUUUGCAAGAAAAAAGCUAAGUACGUUUCAAUUAAAGUCUAAGAAUCUGAACUGGAAGGUUGCAUAAGAUGGCAUUGAGCUUACCUUUGCGAUGAUCAUCGGUAUGCCGAUAUCUAGUUCUCUGCCAUUCUGAGAAAAUCUUGGAGAGAUUGCUGCCCCUAAAGAAAUUCUAUUAGUAGUUUGUACAAAGCCUGAACACAGGAGGUUAUAGCAUCCCGUGGUUCCAUAUGAAUCAGCCUGCAGAUUGAAAGUGAUCAGCAAUCAAGAACUUUUAUGUCUAGCACAUACAAACGUAACUUAAGGAUGCAUAUUUGAUGGUUUACCGUCCAAUACGUGAAGAAUCUGGGGGAGUUGUCUCCAAAUAAUUUCGGAUUAACCUGGAGAAUAUAAAAAUGGCUGAUCCUUAGAUGUCUUCUUCUACCCCCGAAGACUUAGAAAACAUGAUUCUUGUGUCUAGUUUACGUACCUGCAAGCCGGCUUCAACGGUAUUAAGAUCAUUACUAGUACUAUUACCAGAGGCCAUCCAGACUUGUGACAGUCUGAAGUCAUAUUGGUCCGUCUCAUUAGCUUUCCAGACAUGUAUGUAGAGUCGUGCUCCAGAGUAACAAUCUCCAGUAACAUCGCCAACAGGUCUCUACAUUGCAAAUAAAGAAAAGUCAUGUGUAUAAAAUCCGAAUCUAUGAACUUUUGAUGCUACGAUUGGAAACUUAAAAGCUUAGACAGAGCCAAAUAUGUUAACAGCAAUUUGAUUUGCAACUUGAUUUAUUCAUAUUGUCCAAUGAGUUUCUUAAAUAUCAUUUUUUUCCUUUGGUAAGAAUUUCACUUUUAUUCUCUUCUCAAACUUCUCAUUUGUUUGGCAUUGUUCCAGAAAUGUAAUUAUUUUGAGGAGAGAAUAAGAAAAUGGCAUGAUCUAUUUUUCGGAGAGAGAGAGAGAGACAUUUGGAUGUAAUUAUAGGAAGAAGAUAAGAUAAGUUUCCCCAAACUUCGAGUCGCUUAUGCAUUGAUUUAGAAAUCAUUGCCUUGAUAAAUCUGAGAAACUGACCUAACUAGUUUCUUAAAAACUAACUGAACCAAGGUUUUUUGAGUGCCGUUUUACUUCAUUUCACAGACUUACCAGUUGAUCAUUACUGCUUAUCUUAGUAUUCUGUUUGCUGAAAGAUUUUCUGCCGAAUUUGUGCAGUGAACCAGCUCUCAGGACAUCUUUCAUUGUAGUUCUUCUGAUAGGUACAGUACCAUCCGGGCACAAUUCACCAGAAUCAGUCCACAGUUGAAUGCUUUUCCUAGAACCAUGGUGGGUUGGUUUCUGUGAAAAUAUCAGCAGAGUUAUUGUUAGAAGCUCCGUCUAUACCAGAACCAGUCCAAACAAAAAUUUUCAAGACAUCAAAUUUCUUUCAUCAUAGUGUCCCAGGUUAAAUCUGGAUAUGUUUUAAUUUUCUCAGCCCAUUACUAGGUAUGUGUAAAUGUACUUUUAACAAAAUAGUUUCUUUAGACUCUAGUUUCUGCAGAAACAUAGAGCAAAUGAUCUGAUUCUGAACACAAUUACCAGUGGCUUCAGUCCUUUGAGCAGAGGAUGGUCAAAAGCCGGUUGGAGAUGAGAUGGGACACAAUCUAUUAGAUCACCAUCUGGACUCUGUGUCAAAGAAGUUAGGCAAAUUGAAAUUAGUAACUGAAAACCACUAAAAAGAUGCCAAAUUUAGCUAGCAACAGUACUGGAAAGGUAUGAAAAAGAAUUGCCUCAAUUGUCUUGAUUGCGAGUUUGUUAAUCCUCCUCAGAUACCUUCUAAUUCUCUUUAACUUCUGCACCCUUUGACUCAGAUGGAUAGUUUGAUUGCGUAACAGGUGGUUGUCACUGGAAUCCAAUAUAUCAUUUGGCAUAGAAAAGGCAGAUGAAAUAGAAGAAGCAAUAAGUACAACCAAUGUGAAGAUAAUUCGGAUUGUUUUGUAAGAUCUGGCAGAGGCCAUGCUUGUUCUGUGUAUAUCUAUUUCUGCUUCUCUUAACUUAGUGUUUCUCCUAAAUACAAAUAUCACCCAUUUGUAUUGACCACCAUGACAUUCUGAACGACAGAAUCAUGGUUUACUAAAAAAUGAUUGUCCAUCAAGAUAGCAGUAGUGCUCAAGAAGCCAUCCAAAUCAUUUAUAUUACCCAACAAACCUAUCAAAGAAAAAGUCAAAUCAACUCUCCCUCAACAUUUUGAACUUUCUUCCCUCCUAUCUCUGGCUUUUCAAAGAUUCUAUAAUGUUAUAGUAGUCUCUCAAUAAGCAUUAAUCAGUAUAGGAGGUUUCACCAGUAAUAUAUUGAUAGUCUACGAAACUCAACUGGUUAUCAUAAAGAAUGUGCACAGACAAAAGGACUUGCAAAUUAAUGCAUAGGUUAAAGAUUCAAAACUUAUUUGCUUGCUCAGUGCAGCUAGCUUAGGGAUGACAGCAGAUGCAGAUGGAAUCUAAGUUAUAAUUUGCUGCUUGGUUUUCACUUUUGUGUAGGUCAAAUUCAUGUGGCUUGCUUAAUCUCCACAGCUAGGUGGUUGGUGGGCGCAUAUCAGCCUCCUCAUCAAUAUUAAUCUAUUAAUCGACUCUCAAUUUGUCUUGCUAAUUUUUCUUCCUGUUUUUCAGAUUUUGUUCCCUUCUUUUCUAACCUAAGAAGUCAGGGUGGGUGUACACAAAUUUAGUUGACUUCAGAUUCCAAUGUAUUUGACAUUUAGUUCAGGUAAAAGCAUCUCACUCUACAUAUGCUGACUUGAAAAUCACUGUUAUGUCUAAAAUUGUUUUAUACCCUCUUAUUAUUUUAUUUUAGAGAUUAUCAAUUCCAUGAUUCCGUCUGGGAGAAAUAUAGCCAAUUCAUAUAGGUAAAAUGUAUCUAUAUCAGUACUUGCUGUUAGUUGCAUGUGCCUAAGCAGAAUCUGUCUUUGGCAAACAAACAAUCUGUCUUGAUGGCCUAACUCAGAAUUAGUUUGUCAUUUUCACUGUUUCUCUUUGUUUGAGAGCUGUUAGCAAGUCUUGUUUAAGUGAUUUUGUCUUACAAGGAAGGCUCAUGUUAUAUUAUAAACUGAGGUUGGUGACAAAAAUGUUACAUUUUUUUUGUUUUCCCCAUGCUUGGCACAUGCAAGUCUCCUCAUAGAACGUUAAGCACUCAUUUUCAUGUCUUAAUCAAAUUGCUUAAUCUAAUACACAAAGGAAGACUAAUAUUGAAGUUGUUGUGGCUAGGUUCAUGUUUCAACUUUCAAGAUGGACAAUCAAUGGCAUAUUGGUCAUUUUGCCUGAACUUAACCUCAACUUUGAGAAGGAUAAAGAAUUGCAUUAAUACCAUACAUGGCUUUCUUCUCUGUGCAUGCAUGUAACUUUCCAUAUCCACAAGGUACAAAAGUAGAAAGUAAAUUACACACAAAACUCCUAUUUUUCUUCUUGCUACAAAGUAAUGGGUAAAAAGUUGGGGGGGUGAAAAUGUGAAAUGGAAUGCUUUUCAAAAGAAUUUUGAAAUGGUCUCUGUCUAUUUUAAAGGAAAGGGGAAAUUGGGGACCAAAGGAAAGUUUUAGGCCAAUAAUAGGUGACCACCCUACACUUUUAUGCCCUUUUAAGGACACCUUGAGUUCCUUCCAGGGCCACCAUAGUAGAAGUAAUUUCCCCAGACAUUGUUUCUUCCUGCUUUUAUAUCAUAACAAGUAGGAUGAUCAGCCAAGAGAUGAAGAUUAGAUAGAGGAAUUAAGCUGUUAUCCCAGUCAACAACUUGCAAAUUUCUGAAGUAAGAUGCUUUGCCAAAUCCUUCAUCUGCAAAAUGGCCACUUCCCAUCUGUGUUGAUGUGUGAUAUCCUGUUGAUCUGGUGUUUACUAUUUCUCCACCAAACUGAACCAUGCUGGCAUGGCUUCGUAGAUGACUAAACAGAAAUGAUGGCCAGUAUCCCACAAGCAAUCCUGAACCGAAUUCGAGCCACCAAUGUCCAUGCUUAGGAUCCUACAAAAUAAAAAUUUAUGAGUUCCCAAUUUUAUGAAUGCAAUUUUAAAUUACUGCUUCCUCUUUUACAUUUUUUGUAAGUCAAUGGGAAGGAACUGUAAUUUGAAAAAAUGCCAUAAGUAGGAGCAUUCACCAGCUGCAUUCACGCGUUUGCUCUACUUAUUUCUGGCCUAUUAGGCAAUAAUUCAACUCAAUAUGUAGGAUAGUCUGAGUAUUCUACUAUUACCUUCAAAAGCCAGUUGUUGUCUACUAGCAAGAAAUAUACUUAAUAAUACAGAAGGAAGGGAAAGAGAAUUUUUUUUACUCAGAGAGGAGAAUCUGACAUUUAAAUGUCAAGAACAGUUGGACAACUUCAAAUACAAAAUAAUGUAAUCGAGGAUGUUUCGCGCAUAUCGUAGACUUGCUAAAACAUUGGUCAACCUGUUGUCUUCUAACAGAAAAAUCAUAAUCCAUGCUAACCAUUAAGUAAUUGAACAGGAAGUGCUUAGUUGGCUUAUUCUUUUCCUCGUUUCAUGUGUUCAGAUGGAAAUGACAUUGUACGGCUUAAAGAAAUCACUCGUGUUGCUGAAGUAGCCAAAAAAUGUUAGAUAUCUUUAGGUUGAAAAGAAAAGAUAAGAGACCUGGGGAAAAGUAUUAGGGAGUCUGUCAUUUACCUUCCAUAUCAUAACACCAAUAUCAAAUUGUCUGCUACUGUAAGAUGACCUUGGAGAGAUUGCUGCCCCUAUAGAAAUUCUAUUAUUUGUCUGUACAAAUCCUGAACACAGUAAAUUGUAGCAUCCUGUGGCUUGGUAUGCAUCAGUCUGUAAAUUAGGUCAUUAACGGUAAGCUUUCAAUGUCUUAAAACAUGAAUAUUAGUGCAUAUGAAGAAUUCAACUAUUGAUAGUUACCGUCCAAUAGGUGAAGAACCUCGGAUUGCCAUCUCCAUAUAACUCUGGACUAACCUGGAAAAGUGUGAAUUGGCAAAUUCUUAAAUGUCUUGCUCAAUCUACAUUGACUCAAACAUAAAAUGCAGUACACAAUCAUAAAAACCUAUCUGCUGGGAAACUUUUCUAAUAAAAUCUAGACGACUAUCAUUUUUGCAGAACAAAAUUAAGUUUUGACCAUACUUCUAAGAAGGUGUUUAGUUUCACAAGAAACAUCUUUCCUGUUAAUACUGGAAAAAUUGAACAAAAGAAACAUGUUUCCCCCUUAGAACAAAAGACACAGAAGAUAAACUUUUCCACUUGUACAUACCUGCCAACCGGCUUCAAUGGUAUUAAGAUCAUUUCCAAAAGUGCCAGAAAUGAUCCAGACUUGGGACAAACUGAACUCAUAUGGGUCUGUGACGCGAGGUGUCCAUACAUUUAUGCUGACCUUAGCUCCAUAAAACUGAUCUCCAUUUACAAAAGCAACUGCAUGCUACAUUGCAAAGAAACAAGUAUCAUCACAAUGACCAAAUUCAUGCUAGAUAACCAUGAAUUUGUGCACUGUUAUUCGACCCCUUUAUGUUGAUCUUUUGAUGCUACAGUUAGACUAAAGCUGAGAGCAAAAGAUGUAUUAGGGGCUUUGGAAUUCAGACUACAGACUGAAGCAACCAUGGUAUAUUCACUUUUUCAAAAUGAAAUUUCCGCAAAUAUAACUAAGGUCUUAUACCAUGCCACUCCAAUUAGUAAUUUUAUUUGAAAGAGCACUAGCCCUUUGGUUGUAACUAUACACAAAAGAGAAGAGGGCGGAAUAGGACAGUUUACCUCAAGUCUAGCCAUCUUUUCUCUUAUGGAUAGAACAGUCACAUCUUCAGCUACAUCUAUCUGAAUAAAUGACAUGUUUUAUAAAAGCAACUAAGGCUUUUUAGUCCCCCCACUUCCCUAUCCUUAGUAAAUAGAAUCUAAUUCACUUAGGAAAUAAAGGUUUCUUCUCUGUGUAUUUUCCUGUGAAUUAUGCUACAAACUUCACAUACUAACCUCAUGAUCACUGCUCAUGGUGUCAUGGCGUACAUUUCUGAUUUUUCUUCCAAAUCUUCUCAACGUGCUAGCUCUCAGGACAUCUUUCUCGGUAGUUCUUCUAAUUGGUAUGGUCCCUUCUGGACAGGCUUCACCAGAAUCAGUCCAUAGUUGAAAGCUCUCUGUCAAUGCAUCAACGGAGUCAUGGCCUUUAGGCCUCUCUGGCGGUUCCUGCAUUUACUUGAUCAAUAUUUUUCAGGGAAUCACAAAUGACAGAGAUUUUAUACAAACACAAAAUUGAAGAGUUAUGCUUUGAUCUGAACUUAUAAGAGUACCAGUGGCUUCUGUCCUUUGAGCUGAGGGUGAUCAAAAGCUGGUUGAAGAUGAGAUAGAACACAAUCUAUUACAUCACCAUCUGGGCUCUGCAGGAAUUAUAGAAUAACAUUAAAUCAGUAGACUUAAACCUAACGAGACAUCAAAACUUUUCAAAUUUGGUAAGAAACAGAACUACAAAAGUCAGAGAAGAAUGCCUUAAUUGUCUUGACUGCUGGCUUGUUGAUCUUCUUCAGAUAACUUCUAAUCCUCCUCAACCUAUGCAAUUCUGAGCGCGGCCGGAAAGUUUGGUUGGAUAAGAGAACGUUAUGACUGGAAUCUGAUGCCUGGAUAGUAGGCUUGGACGAGACAGGAGCAGUAUUGAAGGAAACAAGAACUGACAAAACAACAAAUGUGAAAAUGAUUGGAAGUUUUCUGUAAGAUGUUGUAGUAGAAGAAGAAGCCAUACUGCAGCUUCUUGUUGAAUGUCCUUGUGUGGUUGUUUCUUCUGUUAAUUUGGUUUGAGUUUGUAUGCAUUUGUGUGUCCUCUCUAUAGUCUAUGAUCUAAUUUACAAAACAGAAACAUGGUUUAUUCCAAAAGUUUGUCCAUUGGCCACCAGCAUUACAUACCUAUCAACAAACAAAUGAACAAUUCAAAUGUGUACAAACCAAAACAUCCAACAGAAAAGUUAAACCGGUUCACUCCUCAACAUUUGCUAUACUUCUUUUUCCUCUCUCUCUUCCUCAGUGAGAUUCUAGUGUGUCUUGGUCUUGUGUUUCUGACACACACAACCUUCAGCCUGGGCUCGUUAAAAUAGGCCCCUACCAGAGGAGGUUAUUGACACAAGGGAUUCUGGUCAAAAGGGCCUUAUUUUAAUAGAGUAACAGGCAUUAGGGGUUGUUUACCUGAUGAUAGAACUAGAAUUCAAGGCAUUAUUUGUUUUCCUUUUUCUCCAUCUUUUCAACUUUUUGCAGGGUUCAGAUUAUGGUUCUUUGCAUGUUUAUUUCCACUUUUUGCAUGCUCGUCAAUCCUGUAUAAUAUACUAGUAUAAUUCAUUAGUUAAAAAACAAAAACUCCACAUUUCAAACUUUCAGAUUCUUGUUUCUUAUAUUUUGUCCUGCAAGUUUUGGCGUAUUAGUAAGACAAGUGGAGAAUGUUUACCACUGUAGAUCGGAACUCAUUGACUGUUGAUUCUUGAGUCUAAAAUGAAGUGGAGUUUAAUUGGACAACUACUUGAUAUAAUGAUGAAUCUGUAUGAAGGGUCGCUACAUAAUGAUUGCAGUACCAAUAUAGGUAGAGUAAAUGAAGGACUGUACAAAGCGGACAUUUUUUGGUGGACCAUAUUUAAGACACAUGAUUUGCACAAACAUGAAGAUAAUGAUUACCAUCAGAAAAAUGUAAAAUAUACACUAGAAUAGAGACACAUCAUGAUGAUGCAAAAAAUAAAGUAUAUCAUUUUUUACUUGCUAUUUUUGAGAAUCAUCAUAACCUAAAUCAUAAUCAUGAUUACCAUGAUUUAAGAAUUUUGACCUUGAAUAACUAAAAGUAAAAGAUUCUCAGUAGCAUUUCUACCAAUGAACUUUUGUUUACUGUAAAGAAGGUUUUGAAUUUGAAACCUCUCAUUUAUGCCUGUCAUAUCAUUUAACACAUCCAUAUCAUUUAACGCAUCCCUUUUCCUCUUUUAACAAUGAACUUGUGCGCUAGCAAUAUUGUAGCGUUCUUUGUUUGUUUUGGUGGUAGUGAAGGCAAUAUUUGACUUUCUACUGCUAGUAGAAAUUAAUAAUUUUGUGCAGUAAACAAGGUAAAAAAUAUUUUGAUAGGAGUUAUAUUUUGAAGGUUUAAUAACUAAAUGGCCCUUGCAAUAUGGAGUAAGUAGCAAAUUGCCCUCUAUAAUUAGAAAACCUACAAAUUAUUCCCUGCAAAAAAUAACCAAACACUUGGGUUAUAUUUUAGGUACAAAAAGACAAUGAUGCCUUCGGAUAUACAAUGCUUUGAUAUUUUCAUCCUAAGGAAAUGAUAUUAUUAUAUUUUUUUAAUUAAAAAAGUGCUUUAUCUAGGGAAAAUGACAAUACAAUUGUAGAUAUAAAUAAUUAUAGACUUCCAUUAAUUAUUUAUAGUAAAUAAAUAUUCUAGUUACUUAUGAUAAUUUAUUCUAUUUAAAUAUUUUUCAUUAGAAAAUGAUAAUAUGCAUUUAAACAUCAAAAGAAAUUAUUAAUAAGAACAAAGAAAGAAAAUUGAAAGUGAAAUACUUUUGAUGCAUAUUUACUUUUUAUUUUGGAUAGAAUGCUUUUUAAUAGGAAAAUUAAAAAAAUACAUUUCACGAUUGAAUAAUAUCAAGGUUAUGCAUAUAUGUAUUUCAAUGUCAUUUUUCUUUCUUUGAAAGUGAUAUCUACAUAUGUACAUACAUACAUACAUACAUAAAUGUACAUAUAUAUAUAAGCAUUGAAUAUUACAUAUAUAUAUAUAAAUUUAAAGAUAUAUUAUUGUUCUAUUACCAUUUCCUAGACACAAAAUGUUUUUUGCUACAAAAAAAAUAUAGUAACAUCCUUUCCGAAGAAUAAAAUGAAGAAAUCAUUAUGUAAUCAAGGGUAUGACUAUCUUUUCACACCUAAAAUUUAAUCCAGAUGCUUGACCAAGUGUUUGUAGAAAGGCAAUUCAUGUAUUUUCUAAUUACAAAGGAGCAACUUGCAAUUAAGCAUAUCUUGAAUUAACUUUCAUUAGAAAUCCAAUUGCAUUACAUAAAUCAGAAUGGGAAGGGAUUCUGUGAAAUUGUGAAAACAAUUGCACCAUCUAAUUGAUGGCCAAGGUGGGUGAAUUUAAAAUAAAAUAGUGGGUUUGAUUAUGAUAUAUAAUUUUCAACAAAUGAAAAAUUUAUCUAUAUUUUUACACAUUAUUAUCUUAGUGUCUAUAUUUAUUACAUUACUAUGUAUAUAUGCCGUCAUAGUAGUACAUAUAUUCCAUCAUGCAGUUAAAAUUAGUGAUUGCAUGGUAAUUGCGGAGACCCGGAUAGAAUAUGCAUCUUAGGCCAUGUUUGGAUUACUAUUUUCUAGAAAAAAAUAUUUGCGUUUUCUGCUGACACAUUUCCUUUGCAUUUUGCACCAUUGCCAGCUGAAAAAUAGUUUCACCUAAGAAGCUUUGGAUCACUUUGCAGUGGAAAAGUCGAAUAAGAUCUAACAUCUAGAAAGAAAAUAAUGCUGCUUCUCUUUAUAUUAACAGAAUGGCCCUUUUGUGGUCCUCAUAAAUUUGAAAAUGAUUAGUGAAUUAUUUUAUGGAUUAAUCUUUCCUACACUAGAUGAAUGACAGUUAUGUAAAAUUUGAAUUUGAAAUUUAACUUUUACACAUAUAUCAUGAAUCCAACGGUGAUAGUGGAUACACUGUCAGUGUAUAUAAGAUUUACUCUUAUUUUAUUUGUAACAUAAUCUCUUGUCUCCUUCCUCAAAUAAUUGGAUUUGAGCAACUGCAAUCUUUUUCCUGAAUGCUACUUUUCCCACAUUAAUUUUUUUUUCACACCAUUUAAAGAAUAAAAUAAUCUAGAGAUACCAUAUAGCAUCUUGUUCGCUACAAAUUUUUUUUUCUAAAUAAAAGAGAAAGAUAAUUUUGCCUUAUAUUUUCACCAUUUUAGCGGUGGCCAAUUUCAUGUAGGCGUCUUUCCCCAGUUUGAAGAAGUACAUGGUAAGCACCUGCAUGUUAGAAUAUGUACUGAAUUAGAAAAUGAGGUGAAACUAUGAAAAAAAAAUUAGGGAAUUUAUUUUCAGAAAAACCCUUUUUACAUUCAUUUAAUAUAGUAGUGUCCUUUUCCAAUUGAAGUCAGCAAUGCAUCAACCACUAGAAGAAAUGCAGACAUUCAACUACUUGGGGAAUCCUCAAGAGUUAGCAUUGUGGUAUGCCACUUAAUUUGGGUAAGCACAAAAAGUUUGGGCCCUAUCAAAGGCUCUCUUUUAUGGGGUUCUGGUGCCCUCCACUAUGAGACUGCCCUUAGUACUAGUAGUAUUACUUUAAUUGUCUCUUCUUUUCACAAAAACCCACUCACAUUUCCCAUCCACUUCUGCUGCAAAGAUAAGGAUGUCUUCUUUCUUGAUAUUGGCCCAUGAUAAAGUGUCACUCUCCUUGUAAACAAUACCAAAGAGUAUUCAUGUUAUCUCAGUGGAAACAUGCCCUUUUUGUAAAGUUGGCAUGAAAGAAUAGAUUCCCACCCACAACCUCAAAAAAAGUAUAAUUUAUAGUUAUCUGAGUUUUUACUUAAGAAAUUGCAACCAUAUAUCUUCUUAAAACUCGUGUUAGUGACAUGGAUAAUGUUUGCUUGCUUGUAAUAUUCUGAUUAUGUGUAUUAAAAAAAGAACAUUAUAUCAUGUGUUGCUUAGAUAUGAAGGAGAUUAAUUAGACGGAAUUGCUUUGAUAGUUUUAUAUGUCACCUUUUUUUUUUUUUUUUGAUAAAGUGCACAAAAGGCUGCCAGCCUGUUGAAUUUGACAUUGAAAUAAUAAAAGCAUACCCUUUAAAAUUAAUUAUAAAGCAUUAUUCUUGAACAGCUUUAUCAUUCUUUUUGCACAUUCUCUCUUGAUUUCAAGAGCACCAAUUAUAUAAAUGCAUAUUUUGACAGAGACAUUGAAUUCUUCAAGCCUAUACUCUACUCUACUCUACUAGAGAAUAUAUACCAUACAGGCCUCAUUCCCUGUGCAGAAGAUAUUCAUCUGGUUUCAGGCUUUCAGGCUUCAGCCAUUAGGAAUCAAAAGGUUCUGCCUGCCUUAUAUGCCUGAAGGAACUAUCCAAUUAUUUUGCUCGAGCUGUUGUUCUUUGUUUAUUUUCAAAUUUUUUUCCUAGUAAAGAAAGGAUGAAAUUUAAGAAGGAAUUAGAACUCAGAAUCUUCACGUUUUCAUACCUCAACCUUAGCCAAAAUUAAUUAUUAGAAUCAUUUGAUGCUUGGUUUUGAGCAAUAAGUUGCCCUUCUAGAGCCCCCCUCAAGAAAGAAGACAAUGGAUUUGGAUUUUGAGCGAAAAUGGCAGCUUGAAUUUAGACCAAAUCUCAAUUGACUAUGGAAUUAAUGAGGGGUUUAAUACUUUGAUUACAACAUUACAAAGGUAAACAACUUUAAAAUAUCGGUUUCUAACUUGAAAAAUGUGCAAAAUGGACCCCCAAAAUAAAAAGAACUAGUCUCUCUAACUCUUUUUUUUUUCGUCAAUCAAUUCGAUAAAUCAGCCAACUCAUGGACAAAGAGGGAUAAUUGAAAAAUGUGCCAUCUAAGCAUGGGAAUAUUGUAGGGAAUCCCCUCAAUUUUCCAUCACAACACCACCCAUCAGAACUGUUGGCUUGUCCUAUAGACAGUGCCUGUGCCAGGUUAGAAAUCACUAAUCAAAACAUCCCACUAGGUUCUAUUACAAGAUGAUGAUGGUUCACUGAAAAGAUGAACAAACUGGAAAGCAUGUGACGCAAUCUUUGUUGUACGAAAAAGCUUUGUAGUCUUUCUACCAUCUUUCUGGAAGAAAGCACAAAUGCGCUGUUUUCUUUAUAGACAUAUCGGACUAUGAAAGCCCAAAUGUAUAACAAGAUGUUUUGGUUGUAUAUGAAAAUAGACAAGCUAGGAAACAAAGGAAAAGCAAGGUUUGCCAUGCUCAAAUUGAACUUCAGAAAGCAUGUUUGCUUUCAAAUCCCACGAUAUUUAGUUCUCAAAAAGAGAAUUAAGAGAGACAAACAUCAAUUAACAUAGGUUUUAUUACAUGGUUUUUCCAUACUGCAAAAUAUCAGAACUAAUCAACUGACAUGAAUUGUGCAAACAUGUUUAAGAUUGACUACAAGAGGAAACACAACAAAGAUCAGAACUGAUCAACUUAAAGGUUCUGACAUGAAUUGUGCAAAUAUUAUAAGAUUGGCUACUAGAGGAAACAUGGGAUACCUUUAGUCACAGAAAAUAGAAAUUUGGACCAGUACAAAACUGAAUCAUGAAACAUCUUAGAAGAAUGCGUGACUCUGAUCCUGAAAUGUUUUAAUUAAUCAAGAAAACUAAAAAUCUUUUUCUCAUUCUGCAUAAUGUACAAAGACCAUACCUCUUUCCACUUUCAAGCUUCCCCAUACCGUUCAGUUAUUCAUUUAUUUUAUCAACAUAUUACAUUAUUGAUAAAAGUAAACUAUACUGUGUGAAAGUCUGUAGAUUCUGCUAUAGCCUGAAGUCUCUUUGGCUGAAUAUGCAAUACUUUUAGAAUUCAUACUUCAUUUUCUUUUUUUGCAGCAUGAUCUAAUGAAAUUUCUUAAACCAUUAUCAUAUCAACCAAGAUGCAUUACACUAACAUUUCUUUGAAACGAUUUAUAGUAUUAGAUAACAUGGACCACAGAGGAAUUUGUUGGUGUCUCUCUUAGUUGCAGUGGUUCGUCUGUGCAGGGGUGUUUCGCGAAUCGAGCAGCUUGCGAGCCGAUCGCGAGCGGCUCGAAUACGAGCUCGACUCGAGCUCGUCAAUAUCGAGUUCGAGUCGAUCUCGAGCUCGAGCUCGAGCUCAAAAACAUUAAGCUCGUUGGCUCGCGAGCUCAAUUAUAUAUUUUUUUAUUUUUUAUUUUUUAUUUUAAUAGUAAAAUUACAUAUAUAUCCCUAAUAUUUUAUUAUUUAUUAAAAAAUUAUUAUUUUAUUCAUUCUUAAAAAUAAAUAUUUAUUUUUUAUUUUUUAAAAAUAAAAAAUUAUUAUUAUUUUUUUAUUUUUAAGCUCGAGCUCGAGCUCGAGCUCGACUCGAAUUUGACUCGAGCUCGAGCUCGAUAUUUUGAGGUCGUCGAGCUCGAGUUCGAGUUCGAGCUUCACAAAAUUAACUCAAGCUCAGCUGAUUAGCCAAAACUCGACUCGAACUCAACUCGUUUGCACCCCUACGUCUGUGGUAUUAACCAAUUAUGAAAAUAUCCCCUUAAGAUAGGGAAAAAAAUUCUUUAUCUUAGACACAUUGUUCGGAUUCUAGAGCAUUUAUGCGCUCCCUGGAAAUGUAGAUUCUGAUGCUGGAGGAACCUUUUACGGGAUGAGACUUUAUCUUUUUUCUUUUUAUAUUUUUGGAGGAGAUGAUACACCAAUACUAAAGUCUGAGCAAUAGUAACUUUCAAUCUUCAAUCUCCAAUUUUCCCCGUCAAAGUUACUAAUGGCAUUGACAAGAAUUGUUAAUAUAUGAAUUCUUGAGAACUGUUAUACAUAUAUAUUACUCCAGCAAGUGAUGAUUAAUAUGCAAUAACGAUGAGGAGUGACAAUGGAGGUUCCACGAUUAUGUACAAAAAAUUUUAUGUCAUUCUUAAGAUAAUAAGAUUACGAGAAACCUACAAAAGUUGGUGUAAUACUGCGAGGAAUACUAACAUAGAAUUGGAGGUAAUUCUUUUGUUUAUUUUUAUUAAGAUUAGUCAAACAGUACAUGCUUUGCAUGUUAGUUCGUUACCUCUAUUCUAGCUAGUGAAACGAUAAUCAUCUCAAAACUAAUAAAAAGAAGGGUAAAAUAUGCUAUUUCCUGUAGUUUCAAAAGUUAAAUAUCAUCCCCUUAUAGUUUGAACUCAAGUAUCAAAGUGACAGAAUUUACAUUCCAUUGCAUGACGGAGUCAACUAAAAUAUCAAAAAUACCCCUAUAUAAAAUUAGAAAUUAUUUAUUAAUCAUAGAGAAGUUAUCUAUAUAUUUUGGAAACCAUGCAAGGGUUACAUGAUAAAGUACUAAACAAAAAGUGGUUUAUGUGGUAAAAUACAAAAACAACAAGAGGUUAAAGUAUCAUGUAUAUUUUGUUUAUAUAUUUUGGCCACUUCGGUCAUUUUAACUUUUAAAUAAUGUUAAUUUCAACAUUUCAGUGAGUUCCGUUAUAGAAGAUCAUUUUCAUCAUUUUGAUAUUUUUGUCCAAAUCAUGAGAGGAUUCUGUAUAACUUUUGAAACUACGGAAGGAUUAUGCAAAUAAUCACUAAACCUCAGGCGAGGUAAAGUGUAUUUUACUCUAAAAAGAAAAUGAGUUUUGUGGUUUAAGCUAUUCCAAAUUAUGUUUAUCUAAGAAGAAUGAAUCAUCGGUUUAGUAGAGAUGUUCUACAUUUAUAUCAUAAUGUAGAUAUAACACUCAAAAAAUAUUUAAUCAGACCAUGUGAUUAAUAAUUUUGUCACAAAGUAUAGAUUGGUUUUUUUUUUAACCUUUCUUGUCUUCUUACUCCUCAGUUGGAGGCAUACUUAUAUAAGCAUACUUAUGUUAUGGGUCCUAAUAGUUAAUGAUGCAAAAAUUGUUCUCCAAAUAAAUUUACUACCUUUUAGUCCUUCACGCAUAUUAAUUAAAAGCAAAACUUCUACAACGGUUGAAACUCCUUUGGAUUUUCACCUAGAAUAAGCCAAAUUACAUGAGUAUAUAUUAAUGCAAUAAAUUUGGUAACCAAAAUAUGAAUUUCUAUUUUGAGUAGCUAAUAAGAACCCAAGAAAAGGCGAACUUAAACAAAAAUGCCUCAUAUGUUUUUCUUGCCUUUUGCUUUUCUUAAAUAGAUAUUAGCUCCUUAUUUAUUUGAUUUAGAAUAAAGUUUCUUAUUCUUUCGAAGAAUUAGUUUUGGACUUACAAUGCCAUGAUUAUUUUCCCAUUAAGUAAAAAAAAAUAAAAAAAUAUAUAUUAUUUUCCAAAUAUCGUUACUUCCAGUGUUAAGUACAUGAAAUGAUUUACCAUCAAGGUUAAUAAGGAGAAAAUAUUCUGAAAGCUGUUACCUUGAUUGGUAAUUCUUCCAAGUUAGUCGUUAAAAUUAGGCAUUAAUUAUACUGAAAUUACUGGAAUCAUUGAAUUAGAAUUAGAAAUUGUAAAAUUUUGUAUUAGAAAUAUGCUAGAAAACGUGUUCAUCUUUAGAUGACACAUCUAUCAUUACCUUUAGACAUAUCACGUAAACUUCUUGUUAAUUAAACUAACCUAAAUAAAAAUGUUCAUUUCCCAGCAACUUAAACUCUGCCCAAAAGCAUAGUAGACAAAUUUGAUAGUAAAUAUAUUGCUAAAGAUGUAUAAUAAUGACUUGGAAUAUUUUUAGUCAAAGAAUAUUCACUUUUAGACUGCUUUAAAAAACUGAAUAGCUUGACAAAGAGUGCAAGAUAGAUUUAAAAAAUGGUCAAAUUUUAGAUAAUUACAUAAAAAUCUCAUAAUCCUCAAAACCAUAUAAUCUGUCCAUUACUCUGCUAAUUCAAACGUUCGAGAUGGGAACUAUCUCAUCUAUUUGUAACAAAGGAUACAUUUAUAUCCACUAGUAGGAUUGAUUUUCAUUUUUCAUGCAAAAGAGCACGCAAAAAUCCUUGUAGUUCUUUCUUGCAUCACCAAUUAUUGCAAUUUUAAUUUCCUCAAUUAGUUUCUUUCAAGGAUGGAACUUAUUGGCAAUAAAAUAGCAUCAUAUUGCUGCAUUGUCAAGUUUCACAAUUAUAAGAAAUCCUCAACCGGUAAAUGAAAUGCUAAGGAAUUAUUUGUGAUCACAUUUACCAACGAAUGUAAUUUUUUGGUCCGACAUGGAUAUACCCUAGAUAGUGUUUCUGCUCCAGGAGCAUAUGUCCAAAGAAGGAGCUGAAUAUUUAAAUCGAAGAUUGACAAUUUAAAAAAAUAUACAAAAUCAGACAAUAGACUUGAUAUACCUAAAUUCAAUACUCUAGGGCGGCGGUGUCAGAGAUAAACCUAGGUAUGACAGCGACGGCCAUCAUAUCAACCUGCCUGACCCUAGUCAGAUUUUGUCCGUAAGUACCAGACGCCGAGUAACCAAAUGGGUCCAACUAACCGAGAUGGACUCACCUCAUAAGGAUGAAGACGAGGAUGAACACAUCUCAUCCGAAAACAUGUUGGGUUGAGUCAUGUUGGGCCGAAAACAUGAAGACGAGGAUGGGCACCUCGGCCAAAAACAUGUUGGGUUGAGUCAUCUCGGUGAUGCGUCGAGCCGAGGAAGCGAAGGUGAGCGUGGACAUUAGCAUCCAAGUACUAGUCCCAAUGACUAAUAACUCCCCCUCCAAUAUAAAUGCCCAUCUCCUCCUCUAUUACAAGUAAUAAAUAUCAUCUCAAUUCUUCUCAGCUGAGCCCUUUAACACUUCAGAAGCUAAGGUGUGCAUCAAAAUGUCAUUGGGGAGAAAGAACCAACCUUCUUUGCCUUUGUUUUUUAUGCGCUGCAAGGUUCGAGGUUAGUAAGGAUGGUCAGUUCAGCCCGGACCGCCCGAGGCUUCACCUCUGCACUGCCUCUGGAAGUGCAGCCUCGUACGCCCUAUGCGCCGAAGUGGCCUCAAUCGAAGUUCUCAUUCCGAUGAGAGCUAUUGCCCAUAUGGCCGAGGUGAUGUUAAAGGAUCUGCCAACCGGAGAAGAGUAGGACGCGACUUCUGACACACAUGAUACCUGACAGAAAGCUGCUCUGACACAUGCGCCGUCUGACUCUGACAACUAUCCCUACACGCCUUUUCAGGAACCAGUCAAAUCAACUUGAUACACUACCCGUAUCAGCUUUCUAGGGACCUGAACAUGUAGUCUCUCUCUCCUAUCUACCUCUUAUAGAUACCAGAUACUCCUACUGAGAAAGGGAUGACCAAUCUCUGGUAAAAUAGGUAAUAUUAGCUUUCGUAACUUCUAGAUUUUUCUCCUCAUAUCCGGACUAACUUAAGUUUCAAAGUUACACCGGGGGAUCUAGCCCCUCUUGUAAUUUGAGUAGGUGACCUUAUUACAGUGAUCUCUUCAAGUCAGGAUACCUCUAAUUUUCGAGCCACCUCAGCAAGUCAAAAAUUACCUCUUUAACUGGCACCGUUUGUGGGAACCGAAGACAUCAGAAGAUGAAGCCCACGCGCUCUAGGAGCAGGAAGGUUCUCACCAUUGGAACUGAACAUAGUACCGCAGCUCAGCAGGAUAAUGCUUCUAAAGGGCGCGAGUCUCUUAGGACUCAACUCGCAAACGAAGAGGUCAUAACCCGUAUGGCCGAAUUUGUAAGUGAGAACCCUAAUAUUUUUGAGGAGUUAUGGAGAUAUUUUAAGAGGAAGGGCAAACAAAAGGCCGAGUCCUCUAAAAGAAAAUCAGAUGAAUCCCCUGAAGGCUCCUCAGAUGAGGAAUCUGAGGGGAGGCACUCCAUCAAGAGCACUCCGAAGCGAGCCUCUUCUAAGGCUACUUCCAGAAUCGCCUCCGUUACAAAGGCGCUCUCACGAAAUUUGUUAGGGAGGCGAAGUGAGGAAGAAUCUCGGCAUCCGAGAAGGCCAAGAGUGGACUAUAUGAGGGCCCUACCCUUUACACAUGAAAUCAACGAGGAAAGGCUUUCCCCAAACUUCAAGCUUCCCUCAAUAUCUUCAUAUGAUAGCCGAGGUGAUUCUGAAGAUUAUAUUCACGCUUUUAUCUUGGCAUUCCGGCUAUAUUGCAUUCCCGACCCUGUCAUAUGUCUGGUUUUUUCGAUUUUCCUACAGAUGAUAGCUCGAAAAUGAUUCUGAAAUCUAGAACUUAGGAGCAUAUCCACCAUGGGGGAGCUAGUAGAGAGAUUUCUCCACUGAUUCGUGUCUUUUAAACCCACAACCAGGAUCUCGGCAUAUCUGCUGAAUAUACAACAGAAUCCCGAAGAAUCACUUCGGUCAUAUAUGCAGAGAUUCCACGAAGAGAACGUGCAGAUACCUGAUCCCAAUGAGCAGGUUACGAUAGCCGCCUUUACCCACAGGCUUGUUGCCGGGGUAUUUAAUCCUGAGAUACACAAAAAGUACCCUCGCACCCUCCAAGAGCUCUGACUGAAGGUCGAAAAAGGCAUACAGGCCGAGGACUUCAACCGCACGAAAAAGGAGGUUCAAGCAUCUCGUCCGGGAGCUGAUUCCCGAAGGAAGAAAAAGAUCAGCCGAAAUGAGGCGGGUGUUACAAGUAGCUUUCAAAGUCCUAACUGGGAUCGUCCUAAUGUGUUCGAUAGGAUAGCCAAGGGGAAGUCAUUUAUCCCUGAUUCUGAGUUUACCUCUUUAAACACCACCCGAUCCCGAGUGCUAUCCGUAAUGGAACAGAAUAAUCUCGGACACACCUCCUGAAGAUGUUCGAAAGUAGAGAAAAGAGAAACUCUAACCUCUACUGUCUGUAUCAUCGAAACAUCGGGCACGAGACGGAAGACUGCAAUGACCUUAAAAAAGAGAUAGAGCACCUUAUCAAGUAGGGGUACUUGAAACAGUUUAUUCGUCGAGAUCGAUGUCACCAACAGAGCGGCUCUCGACGAGAGGACCGAGAUGAUAAGCGACAGGAGGACAAGCGAGGGUCAAGAAGCAGCUGCCGACUCCCCGAGGAUCCUAGGGAGGCAAAAAUGCCUCACCGAGACAGGUCCUCGGGUCAUGAAUUAGGGUACGAACAGAACACUGUCAGGGUCAUUAACACCAUUGCUGGAGGUCCGACGGGAGGGGACAGCCAGACUUCCCGAAAGAGGACCUACAGGUAAGCUAAUACUGAUAAGGCCGAACCGAGCUCUCACCUGUCCGAGGUGAUAUCUUACGGCCCCAAUGACCCCGUUCUCGCUGCUUCCAAUAGCCAUGAAACUCUGGUGAUUAAGGUACUCGCCAACAAUUACAUUGUUAAGAAGGUAUAUGUCGACCUCGGGAGUUCAGUGGACGUCAUGUACCUCCGGACCUUUGAAAGCCUGAAGUUGACCAGGGAGCAGCUCACCCCAGUAAGGACUCCCCUGGUAGGGUUCGGAGGACAUGUAGUUCACCCUGAAGGGAUGGUCACGCUGACGGUGAUGGUGGGGUGUCACCCCCGUUGUCGCAUCAUCCCGGUCAAUUUCGUCAUGGUUAAGGCCAACUCCCCUUACAAUUUGCUCAUGGGUCGACCCACACUCAAUGCUCUAUGUGCAGUAUAUUCUACGUAUCACUUGAAUUUCAAAUUUUCCACGCUAGCGGGAAUAGCUGAGGUGAGUAGCGAUGUCUGCGUGGCGCAGGAGUGUUACCUCACCACUCUACAAGCCGUCUCUACUUCAACCUCCGAGCCGAGGUCCGAGAGAAGAUCCAAUAUACUUUCGAUUGAUUGUAUCGAUCCUCAACAGUCAGGGGAGUUAAGAAGGCUGGAGACCGGACAUGAAGUGGAGGAUAUCCCCCUAGACCUCUCACGGCCAGGUCAGACGAUUCGCAUCGGCAUCCACCUCCCCCACCCCUUUAGGGGUCAAAUGGUAGACCUUUUCAGGGAGUAUCGGGACGUUUUCGCCUGGGCUGUCGAGGAGGUUCCAGGGGUGCCGCAUCACCUCAUGGUACACGAGCUAAAUGUUGACUCCCAGGCACGUCCUAUUAAACAGAAGAGAAGGCACUUCGGCUCGGAGCGCAGCAAAGCCGUAAGUGGAGAGGUGGACAAACACCUACCAGCAAAAAUGAUCAGAGAAAUGCAGUAUCCGACCUGACUAUCUAACCCAAUCAUGGUCAAAAUGGACACGGGAGCUUAGCGAAUGUGUAUCGAUUUUACUGAUCUGAACAAAGCCUGCCCUAAGGAUUGUUAUCCAUUGUCUAGAGUUGACGCGCUGGUAGACUCGAUAAUGGGUUACGAAGUCCUCUGUUUCCUCGAUACUUUCAAGGGAUAUCACCAGAUCCGGAUGAGCGAGGAAGAUCAGGAAAAAAUGACUUUCUACACAGAUCAGGGUGUCUAUUGUUACACCACUAUGCUUUUUGGCUUGAAAAACGCUGGGGCCACAUAUCAGCGUUUGGUCAACCAGGUUUUCAAGUCCUAAAUCGAUCGAAAUGUCGAAGCAUACGUGGACAACAUCCUUCUCAAGGCCUGAAAACCUCCACCUUCUUGGCCGAUCUAAGAGAGGCCCUUGAGAUAAUCCGUACUACCCGCAUGAUGCUAAACCCUAAGAAAUGUAUAUUUGGGUCAUUUCGAAAAAGUUCUUGGGAUACCUUAUUUCAUAACGGGGCAUAGAGGCCAAUCUUGACAAGGUCAAGGCGAUCUAGGAAAUGUCCUCACCUCGGUGUAUCCAGGACGUACAAAGUCUUACCGGGCGACUGGCCGCUCUGAAUCGAUUUCUGUCGCAGUCUGCCGCUAAAGCGCUCCCGUUCUUCAAGGUGUUAAAAAAGACUGACAAAUUCUCCUGAAUGAAAGAAUGUCAGCAGGCCUUCGAACAACUGGAGUAUUUUCACCACCUCCCCAUCCUCACUUCACCUCGUCUAGGGGACAAGCUCUACCUGUACCUGUCUGCCGCCAAAGAGGUUGUAAGUGCUGUACUGGUACGAGAAGAAGGUGUCCAAAUACCGGUUUACUAUGUUGGCCAGGUUCUUCGAGGGCUUGAGACAUGAUAUAUUCAAAUAGAAAAACUUGUGUUAGCCUUGGUCCAUGCGGCUCGUAAGCUGAAACUCUACUUCUUAGCUCAUCAUGUUUGUUUGAGAACAGGCCAGCCUCUUAGGCAGGUGGUGUCGCGGCCUGAGACUUCUAGCCGUCUCACUAAGUGGGCUAUUGAACUAGGAGAAUACGAUUUGUCCUAUGAGCCCCGGACGGCCAUCAAAGCUCAAACCCUGGCGAACUUCUUAGCCGAGCUCACUUUUGAUGAGGUGAAUGAAUCCACCUCAGCCACUGCUGAGUUCCAGCGGUGGAUCCUGCAUGUGGACGGUUCGUCUAACAGCGAGGAUAGUGGAACAGGUUUGCUCCUCGAAGACCCCCGAGGGGAGCUGUGUUCGUACGCACUUUGGUUCGACUUUACUGCCUCUAACAACGAGGCCAAAUAUGAGGCAGUCAUCGCCGGCCUACAACUAACUCUCAAGCUAAGUGUCCGGUACGUUCAAGUCAACAGUGACUCCCAACUCAUCGUAUGCCAGAUACUUAGUGAGUACGAAGCCAGAGAAAAGGUCAUGCGACGGUACCUCUCCAAAGUCCACCAGUUAACUGCACACUUCGAGUCUUUCAAGAUCCAAAGGAUACCCCGGUAGCAGAAUAGGCAGGCCGAUGCGUUAUCCCGUCUUUCCUCCACAUUUUUCUCUGAUUUAAAUAAGACGGUCCUCGUUGAGGUUCUAAUCGAACCAAGUUAUGCAAAAGACGUGGUGUGUCCUGUUUACCCAGGGGACACCUGGAUGAGCCCGUUAAUUCGGUACCUCGAUCAGGGAGAACUUCCAGAAGCCGAGGCGAGGAAACUCCAGCGUAAAGUAUCCCGGUAUGUUCUCUAGCAAAAUCUCCUGUACAAGAGGUCAUACUUCGAUCCAUGGUUGCGAUGCAUAACACCAGAGGAAGGGGAAAGAAUCCUCCAAGAUAUCCAUAAGGGGUUUUGUGGCGCCCACGUCGGCUAUCGAAUACUGGUCAAGAAGGCCCUAUUGCUUGGAUAUUUCUGGCCCACCAUCCGCCGAGAUGCCUAACUCAUGGUCCUUAGCUACCCUUCUUGCCAAUAUCACGCCCCUGAGCACCACCAACCGACUAACAAAAUGGUCUCCAUCACAUCACCAUGGCCAUUUGAACAAUGGAGGACGGACAUAAUUGGCUCAUUCCCCAAAGCCUAGGGCAACUACGCGUACCUCAUAGUGGCUGUGAAUUAUUUCAACAAAUGGGUCGAGGUCGAACCACUGAGAAGCAUGACUGGUUCAAAGGUCCAGAAAAUUUUUUAGAAAAACGUGAUCUGCCACUUCGGAUUGCCACGAGUGGUCAUCUCUGAUAAUGGCAAACAAUUCGCGAAUAACCCCUUCAAGGGAUGGUGCGAAAGCCUUGGUAUCAAGCAGUAUUUCACCUCGGUCGGACAUCCCUAAGCCAACGGACAAGUCGAGAACCUCAAUCGCACCCUUCUCCAUGGUCUCAAGACCAGCAAGGUCAUCAUUGGUGGAAGAACUCACCAGUGUGUUAUGGUCCUACCAGACUACUCCUAGAUCCGCGACACAAGAAAUCACAUUCUCAUUAAAUUAUGGAUCCGAAGCCAUAGUUUCAGCCGAGUUCAUCACUCCGAACCCACACACAGUAGAUUUCGUUGCCGAGCUGAACGAGAAAGAGAGACGGGUAGACCUCAACCUCGCCGAGGAGAAACGCGACAUAGCCGCAGCUAAAAUUGCACUGUACAAGAAUAUCCUAACUAAUUACUAUAACGCUCGGGUCAAACACCUACGGUUCAGUCCGGGAGACCUUGUGCUCUGGAAAAAUUCGGUUAGCUGAGUUGAACCUUAAAGUAAACCAAUUCCUAAAUGGGAGGGACUCUACCGCGUUAUUGAAUUCAACCAAAAUGGAUAUUAUAAAUUAGCUUACCAAAAUGGUUCUCGUGUACCCCGAAUUUGGCAUGCUGAGAACCUCAUAUUGUAUCACCCCUGAAGGGUGUGUACUUAAUCGACGAGUUAUUCAACGUAGCUUUUAUUUCUCCCUUAGCAUCAUUGUCUUAAGUGAAAAAUAAGGGGAUAGAGCAGGUAUAUUAGCCGAGUUCGAAUACAAAAAGAGAAAUUGAAAGUCAUUGCAUUAAAGACAAAAAAUUGAUUACAUAGCGCCGAGGUCAGGUACACUUCUAAGUACCCAUCAUCUCGGCGAUUUACCACAAAAAGCAUUUCUACACACUUCCUACCCUGGCGUCCUGAUUGUCCCCGGUCACCUCGGCACCACCACCUCCGCCGUCGACACCAUCAUCCCCGCCGUUGAGUUCAACUCCUUACAGGUCGAACUCGAAGAGCCACUGAUUGAAUUCGACUCGAACCUCGACUAGGCUCCUCCCAGCCUGGAUGCCUUCAGCCAUAUGGUCGCACAAUUCUUUGGCAUUCUUGUUAAAAUUGGGUUUCUCCUGAAGGGAUUCCAACUACUCCGAGGUAAGGAAGGGAACCGUGUCAUGAACUGCCGAGAUGUAUCCAAACAUAAAACUCGACAAUGUAAGCUCACCGAAGUCAUUAUGGAAGGUCUCGGAUUUUUGGAAGGCCUCUAGGGCAGAGGUCCCCGCCUUCUCUAUGGCCUCCCGAGCUGACUGUUCCUCCUGGGCCCUUCUAUCUUUUUCUUCCUCAAAGGCCGUCAUCAAGGAAUUCUUGGUAGUCUCGACUUGCUCUCAUGCUGCCUCGGCCUUAUCACAGUCCUGCUCGGUCGCUUUUAACUUUUCCUGCAGCUUGGUGACCUUCUUUUCAAACUCGGAGGAAGGCUGAUAGUUUUCGACCAACCUGGUGUAGCGUUGAGUCAUUUCGGCUAAGAAUGCUGUGGUGGAGCCCAGGAGACAGACGCGCUCUACAUCGAUUCCGCUGGAGUAAGCUUCCUGACGUAGAUGCUGUCUCUCGGAAGAACUGAAUGCACCAGGAGCUCCUGAGCAACCAAUGGAUUCUUACAGCGAUCGUUCACGUUGAGAUCCCAUUCCGGACACCAAUGCGAGCCGGAGUGCCUCUUAUCCUCCCCAACUUCUUGAGAAGGCACAUUGUGGAGGUUGAACAAUGAAGACCCCAUCACAGGGACUUCGAAAAACACAGUAACCCCUCUGCCCCGGGAUGGAGAAACUAUCGUCACUCCUCGGAUUAGCACCCCAACUGGAAUGGCCGAGGUGCGGGAGCUCUGUCCAGUAAUUAUCACGGGAGAACCCCGGCUCACUGUGGCCGUGGUGGCCGUGGCCGGGGUCGCCUUCUUCUUUGGCCGAGUAGACGGUUCGACCGUGUCUUUACGUUUAGGUGGCAUCUUGGCUACUCUGGCCGCUCCUGAAGUGAUCAAGUCGGAAACUCUCGUCACUGCGUAGCGUAAAAGUAGAGUUAGUUAAAAUCAAGAAAAAGCAAAGACAAAGUAGGAAGCGAAAAAGUACAAUAUUUUCUAAGCCUAGUAGAAAAGAAGGGCGGAUGGUCUGGCCUGAUGAGAGCUCGGCUAAUCCUUCCAUCAACAAGAACUGCCUCGAAAAAAUUUCAACAAUUGAUCCUGAGACCCGACUCCAUUAAUUUUGUGAAAUUCUCUUCUUCCAGAUGGCCCGGAGAGGUUUUCUUGACCGGAGAGGUUUUCUUGACCGGAGAGGUUUUCUUGACCGGAAUGGAAGGCCUCCACCAGAAUCCCCUAGGGAAGUCAUCAGUCGGGACAAAUAUGAAGUUCCUCUUUCACUCCUUUAUCAAAGUGGGGGCAUCCACCACUAAUUUCGAGACCUUGUUCCCGAAGUAGAACCAUCCCUUUUCACUCCCACUGUUCUUAAUUGAGUAGCAACGGCGAAAGAGGUUAACAGUAGGAGUUAUUUCUUGAUAUCGGCACAGCAUCUGGAAGCCGACCAGGACCCGGAUUGCGUUAGGGGUAAGUUGAGUGAUCCUCACCACCCAAUAUCUCAGGCAAUCCCUGAGAAAUCUCGUGAUCGGCACUCUGAGUUUUGCCUCUAGUUGGUCGGCGUAUAUGGCCACCCUACCCCUAGGAGGGAGUUCGGCUGACUCAUCCGGCCGAAGAGGAUAGAUGCUGUAGUCCCUCCGCCAGAGGUGCUUAUUGACCAACUCGGCAGUCAGAGACUGACCCAUAAUGCUGCUGAACAUGGGGACCUGGCCGUAGUUAAUCCUGUCAGAUCCGGAGAGGUGGCUGGCUCUUGCACACCCUCAUCCCUAGGGAUUUCGUUACCGAGGUCAUCGUUGUAAAGAAUCUCGGUUUCGACCUCGGUUUCCUCGCUUUGCCCUUGAGGCGUCCCGGCCCAAUGAGACUCUUCAACACUCCCUUCCCUGGCUUCGGAAGCAGUUCUCUCCUCAGAAGGGUCGGGUCUCUCUGCGACUUCGGAAACAGUUCUCUCCUUGGAAGGGUCGGGCCUCUCCGCCUCGGUGAAACUCAGUCUCACCAUUUCCUUGUGUGUGCGUGCUGUUCUGGCCAUAAGUAAAGGAAGAGAAAUGAGACUUACUCUUGAAGGAAUUUCGAAUUCCAAGAGAUUGCCGGAGUGAAAAAUUGAAGACGAUUUGAUCUGAGGUGAUUGAGAACUUUUUCAAUAAAAGGUAAAAUAGUGAAAAUGACCCCCUAUUUAUAAGCCAACAGAAUGAGACUGAAGGGGCGGCACCUUCGAGAUUCUUUAGGGAACACCCUCUCUCCUAAUUAAUGAGAGUACUGCUCAUCUGACCGUUGAUUUCGCGCCUAUCCGUGGAUCUGUCAUUAAAGCUGACAGCUAUCAUUUCACUUCUCUACCAGUCCCAUCCACGCAUGUAUGACGUGUCAUUGCUGAGUUCCACGUUCCAGACACACUCGUCAGCCUCGGGAAGCAGCGACCUCGUCCUUCGCGAAGCUUGGGGGGCUUAGUGAGAAUGAUCAGUUCGGCUCGGACCGCCCGGAGCUUCACCUCUGCACUACCUCUAGAAGUGCCGCCUCGUACGCCCUAUGCGCCGAGGUGGCCUCAAUCUAAGUUCUCAUUCCGGUGGGAGCUAUCGCCCAUAUCGCCGAGGUGAUGUUAAAGGAUCUGCUAACCGGAGAAGAGUGGGACGCGACUUCUGACACACAUGACACCUGAUAGAAAGCUGCUCUGACACAUGCACCGUCUGACUCUGACAACUGCUCUUACACGCCUUUUCAAGGACCAGUCAAAUCAACUUGAUACACUGUCUAUAUCAGCUUUCUAGGGACCUGAACCUGUAGUCCCUCUCUCCUGUCUGCCUCUUAUAAAUACCAGAUAUUCCUACUGAUAAAGGGACGACCAAUCUCUGGUAAAAUAGGUAAUUUUGGCUUUCGUAACUUCUAGAUUGCUCCUCAUAUCCGGACUAACUUAAGUUUUGAAAUUACACCGGGGGAUCCAGCCCCUCUUGUAAUUUGAGCAUGUGACCUUAUUACGGUGAUCUCUUCAAGCCUAUUACUAAGGGGUAAAAAGAAAACUAAUUUUUCAUACCUGCUCAUUGAAAAUUGUACUAUAUGAGAAGCAUCAUGUUCAACCAUUUUUCUUACAUAUCUAGCUGAAAUAUCAUUCUUUGAUCCAUGGUACUUGAGAGGUUUCCAAUCCUGUGAAAGAGAAGAGAAGAAGAGAAGAAAAAAAAGACUAAUGAGUUGUAAAAGAUACAUCUACGAUUUAAUUAGCAAAUAGUAACUAAAUAAAUAAAUAAAUCAGUAAGUUCAUAAAUGCUAAAUGGAUAAUUGCUGAGAUUAAUGUGAAUGAACUUUUCCUGAAGUACAAUUUGAAGACCAAAUGAAGCAUACCUCUACAGUAUCUUUGUUCUGCACACUCUCCGUCCCAGAUGACUUACCCAGCAAAUGAAAUUAUCCAAGUUUAUAAGAUCUAAUCAGAUGCUAGACACUCAGAAAUGCUACAUUUAGCAUGGCUCAAUCCAGAAAUGACACAUAAAAACUUAACCCCCCCCCCCCCCCCCCGGCCCCCCAAAAAAAAAAAUCCAUUGCCUGCAAUAGCACCCUCUAAAUGCCUAGCAGAGACGCAUGUUACCGUACAUCUCUCUUCUUGAUUCAGGUGUAACCACAGGUGCAGAAAAAUCUUUCAAUCGAGUGUUGUUAUAACUACCUCUCAGUGGAUACAUUGUCAUGAUGCUUCUGCUAAAGUUGGCAUGGCCAUUAAACGUUUAUGUUAAGAAAUGUCAAAAAUUUUGAUGUUAAAUUUGAUUUAUCUUAAGUUGCAACGCAAUUCAACUUUGUAGAGUCCUGCUAUCAUACUGUUAUAGUGAGAUAACCAUGGGAAUUACCAAUAUUUCUAGUUUCAAUUGCUUAUUAUGUUGGAUGAGAAGAAGCUCAAGGCAAGAAAGAACCAGAAAUAAUAGGAGAAAACAGAAAGCAGAGUUCAAUAAGUCCAAAUAGAAAAGCACAAAAUUACAUGUAAAAUGAGAAUGAACAAGAUCGAAGGGCAUAUCUCGUUUCCAACAAGAACUCCAACAACAUAUAUAUCCAGCUCCAACAGGUGGCUUCCAUGGUGAGUUAAGAGUCUAGAAAAGGACCACAGGCCAACAUAUUAUACAUAGAUAUUACUAGUAAUAUAUAUAAAUGAAACGAGAUUCAACAGAAAUCACAGAGAUAAACAAAUCCUAGCCAUAGUAAUAGCAUAAAGAUAUGAGACAAAAACUCUUUGAAGACAAAGAAACUCAUGCAUUCUCAGUUAUAGAACCAAACUAUGGACAAUCUAUGUUUUAAUUUGUAGUUCACAAAAACUUUGAUCAGCUAAAAGGAAAUUUAAUACUUCAAGAAUUCUAUCAGCUUCGUUAUAUCAGGAAAAAAAACUGGAUCAUGUGGAAGCGCGUUGAGACUACGGAUUAUGCCAUCAGGAAGUAUAGCGCAAAUGCUAGGAAGUCUACCAGUUUUAAAGAUACUUCUUAUGGAUUUGCAGCGGCCUUAUCAGGUCCCUGAUCAGACAAACUCUUAGGAGCUAUGUCACUAUGCUGUUGCAAGGUUUCAUUUAUUAGGUGUUCAAAAGCAAUUAUAAAUCAAAAGACUAAAUUUCUGUCAUAAUUUUCCACGCUUGAAUCAUUCAGAUAGAUCAUAUGAGUGAUGAAAUCAAAAGGCAGGAUAUAUGCUUUGUCAUUGGAACUCUAGGUUCAGCAUGAGAGUAAUAGUUCUUGGAAUCAUACUCUAGUCACCUUAAUUUCCCUCCAUUAACACUUGAUGUAAGAAAAUUUGCUGUUAAAGAAUUCUUUUCCAAAAGCAUAAUGCUAGAAAGCUAGCUUCUUGGGAAUUUUUUCGAAAGCAUAAUGCUAAUACAUUUGAUGGUUUCACUUCUUUUUUUUAUCUUUUCAUUAAUCUAAAUUUAUAGGGAUAGAUAUAUUUUUUACUUGUGAUUUCUUAUAUUUGAAACUUUUGAGAUUAUUUGGUAUGUUGUAUAAAAAAAAAAAAAAGACAUUCUAGAUUAAAAUAUUAGGAAUAUUAAAUACUCAUAUGAGACAUUAUGAUGUAAAAGUUAUACUAGUUAAGAUUCAAAUUAUAUUUCAUAUAGUUCUAAAUUUAAGAAAACAAUUAUUCCAUGCUAAAGUGAACGAUAAAUUUCUAGAAAAAAGAAAAAGGUAAAACAACUUACGAGGGAGAUAAUUUGUAUAUCAUCAGCUGGUUUUUUUUAUUAAUUCUAAACAAUCUAUUCUUAAGAUAGAUAAAAUUUAUGAUUGGAACAAAAACCCUCAUGCCUGUAUAAUAGAUUAACCAAGAAUUAAUUGAAAAAAACAAAAAAAAAAUUGUCGGUUCAUCUCUGCUGGAACAUUUUUUAAGAGUUUGCCUUGGUUCCAGAAUCUGUUUGUAUUACCGAUUCCCAGUCAAGCAAUUUCAAAAGGCGUGGUCUUUUUAUAUGAGAACAUCACCACGCCUUCUGUUAUCCAAAAGCCCAUCAGAUCAGAGGCAUUUCUCCUCUACUAGCUAGCACCACGCCUUCCAGUUCCACAAGUAGUCACCACUUGAGAUAGGACUCUCCCAAUAUUUUACUGUCUUAAAAUUUUCAUAAUACAUAGCUGCAAAAUGGAAAAGAAACAAGAAAAAGGAGAAACCCCCCCCCCCCCCCCCCCCCCAACAAAGGAAAGGGCAAGAAGCCAAGAACUCCAUAGUUAGUUCUAGUCUACAAGAUGGAAACAAAAUUGAGAGUUAUCCAUGACAUAUCAACGAUAAAAUCUCUCUUUUUAAAAACCACUUGAAUUUAGCUAGAUUUUUUGGGUUAAAGCAAUGGAAAGAGGUGUCUACCUUCAAGCUCCAAAAGGGGGGAAAUGGGGAAAAAAGAAAAGAUGAAGAAAUAAGUCAAAAUAAUUGUAAUUGUCAAUCAAUAUAUUUCAUAAACUUAAGAUUUUUAUUUUUUGAACAAAAUGAACUCAAGAAUUAAGAUCAGACAAUAAGCCCGAAAGUCACACUCGUGAUAAAGAUAUUGUAUGGCUCUUUCACCUUUUUGCUUUUCAUUUAUGUGCUUAAUUUGUACAUUCCUAUCAUUCCCUUUGCCAAAUUUUUCAUUAGAUAUCACAUAAAUGAGAGGUUAUAUUAUGAUGUUAUAAAAGUAACAAAGUGCCAUUAACAAAUAGAAGAAUGCCCAAUAUCACCUCACAAUCCUAAAAAUAAAAAUACCAUAAUUACCAUUUUGACUCUUAUCCCAAUGAUCUUUUGUUCCCUUUUCACAUUACUCUAGGAUGGAACCUUGGGCCAAGGCAUGUUAUCUGAACUCUAUCUCUACGUACAAGCAGCAGACAAGGAAAAAGUAGACCAGGAGACAAUCUUGUUCAAUAUCCUUGAACUGCUCUGAAUAAAGUUGAAAAAGCUAAAAAUUCCAAAGUUGAGUUGAUUAUGACAGUAGCAAUAUUUGACAAAAUUGCAGGUCUCUUUGGCAUCUGCUUGAUUACAACAUAACAUAGGAUUCUUACGCUACAGCCUGCUUUUCACCUUAUACUCUUGCCAAAUCUUAUAAGACAACUCUUCUCCAUCACUGAAAUUUUGUGUAGCAGUAGUAAUAAUGUCAUCAAUGAUGAGAGGAAAUUCAAGAUCAUCAAUUGAAUCAUCCUGCAAUGGAAUUGUUCGUAGAAUGGUAAGCCUUCCCAGGAGCAUUUUAGGGGGUGUUUCCAGAGCAAUGGGACAAGGCAUGGACUUUAUUCGAAUAGGAGGAAGAAGACACCACCCUCAUCAACAUCAUCAUCUACCAUUAGCAACAGAUUUUCCAUUUGAGCAAUAUCCCUCAUCAGAUCCUCCUGUGAAUGGAUCAUUCAAUCAACCUUCACAGAAUUUUCAGCAGCCACCGAUGGUACAAGAGGAAUGGGCAUUUCUAGCAAGUCUGGAGCAGGAAUAUGGCACAAAUCAUCCAUUUUUCUACGUUUGUCGGUUCAUGGAUGCUCUGAAGAUGGCUCAAGAAGAGCACAAGUUCAUUUUCCUGUACUUGCACUCCCCUGAGCACCAAUUCACUCCCGCUUUCUGCAGGGAGACUUUAGGUUCUGAGCUGGUUGUUCAGUUUCUCGAUGCAAAUUUCAUUAGCUGGGGAGCACUUGCAAACAGAGGGGAGGGGUUCCAUUUGGCUUCAACAUUAAGGGCCUCCAACUUUCCAUUCUGUGCUGUGGUCGCUCCAGCUUCUGCUGGCAAUUUAGCAGUUCUGCGACAGGUAAGAGGAAAUUUUAUACAGAAACUUCAUUUCGUUUUGAAAUGUUUAUAAGCACCUGAAUAUGAAACCUCAACAUGACUAGAAUGCCUAUUGCCUAAACUAGAUGGUUUUGUGUACAAUCAAAAGGUUCAGUAUAAAAAGAUUUUAAUCGUCCUGCAUUUCAGAUUAAAUUAUCGGCAAAUAGGAACAAAGAUAUCCCCAAAUAUUAGGUGUUGGCUGAUAUCUCAAGUCAAAGUUUCUACAGCCCGUACUACCUGGGAUUCUGCUUUCUCAUUUUUGCUGUGAAUAUGAUCGCAAAAGAAGGAAAUUACUCCCAAGAAAGUUUAGAUCAUCUUUUCUGAUGAUAUGGUCAUACUUCUUGUAAUGGUAGUAUAGUGCACUGAGGGGAGACUACUGGCCAUGAUUGGGCUCAUACCUUAAAGCAGCAUCUUUUCCAUCUUUUUUUAAUGUGUUUUCACAUUGAAAUUCUCUAGUGUUGAUUCAGUUGUUUCAAUUUCAAGACAUGUUCUUCCAUGAAAAAUCUGAUGCAUCUGAACUUCCUUACUAUCAUUAUUCAUUGAUAUGUCACCUGUAUUUGAUUUGUGAAAGAAGGGAAACUCUCUGACUUGCCCUGUGUAGAUUGAAGGUCCAGUCUCCCCUGCUGAAUUGGUGGAGAUACUACAAAGGACCAUGGAGGAGCAAGGACUGGCAUUUGACAGUGCAAGGGCCAAUGAGGAAGAAAAAAGAAGAGCAGAUCGUAAAUUGAGAGAAGAACAAGAUGUUGCCUAUGUUACAGCCCUCCAGAGAGAUCAGGUGCACUUUUGCUCAAAAUUAGUCGAGCUUCGAUUAAGUUAAUGUCUGAAUCAAACCAGUAGGAAACAGGCUUUCCCAUUUGUACAGGAGAAGGAAAAGCUCAGGAGUUUCGCUUCAGAACAAAGAGUUUCAAAAGCUGCAAGUGCCUCCAAUUCAUCUAAUCAAGAAAAAACCAAGCCAGUUCCUCUAAAGCAGCAAAACAACCAAAUCAAGGAUGGUCCAAGAGCAGGAGGAGCUAUGCAUAAAGGAAAUGCUCAAGAAACAAAGGUACUUGAUCAAGACUUAUCCUCUUUGUAGUCUUGUAAGAGUAUGCUUUGGUCCAUAAUAUUUCAUAUGCCCAUUGAGCUUGAUCUCAAGAAUGAACUCCUCAUCUUUCUGUGUAGAUAUUGAUAAGGUUUCCAAAUGGGGAGAGAAGGGAACACAGCUUCUUGAGCACAGACAAGGUUCAAGCAAUUUUUAGGUACAUUAAUUCACUAGGCUUGCCUGGAGUUGGCGGCAAUUACAGGCUAAUUUCUAACUUCCCAAGAAAGGUGUUUAGUGUUGAUCAGAUGGGAAUGACGCUGACAGAGGCAGGCCUUCAUCCAAAAGCUAGCUUGUUCUUGGAGCUUCUUUGACCAUAGAAGUUUCUUUUCCUUGGUACGUUACUGAAGUUUCAGAAUACAAAUUAAAGAAAUGUUUUCAGCAUCUCACUUUGUUGUUAUGGAGACUUUGGGUAGCAAGUAUUAUUAUUUAUAAGUAAUAAUAAAACUUUUGCUAUAAUUCAUUACUUUCCUUUCCAUAACAAAUUUCAAUCAACGUAGUGAUUUUCCUACUUUAUAUAUAUUUUUUAUUGAUUUUUAAUCCAUGAAUCUAUAGUUCCAAAUGCUGUUCAGUUUCUGUUUUUCUAAGUUGGUGAUUUUGCCCACACACACACACACACACACACACACACUUCCCUAUAAUUAAUCAAUUAUAAAUUUCAUUCUAAUUAAUUUCCAUUCAUUCUAAAGCAUACCAAAAAAAAAACACAGAUAUAUUCUAUCUUCUAAUUAGAAAAUUCAAAAUUAGUUACCCUUUUUUUCUUUUUUGGCAAUCACGAUCACAUGCUGCUUAUAUGUACAUUUUUUGUUCUUUUUCCUUUAAAGGAUUUUUCAUAUUAAUUUCUUUUCUUUAAAUUUUUUUUUAAAAAGUAAUCAAAUAUUGAUAAUACUCUCUAAUAUAUUUACUUUUCUCACACAAUACUUUAUUACCAUCAAGAUGAGGUUUGAUGAGAACUAAUCAUUAUAUUGUGUAGGAGUAGCUAUUUUUAUGUCUUUUAGUCUAAAUAUUUUGUUUUAUAUUUAGUAUUUUAAAUUUUAUUAAAUUUCUUAUUUUAGUGCUUUUGUAUCCAUGACCAUCUAAAAGAAAUAUCGAAGAUGAAAAGAAAAGCAAGUGCGACUAACUAGUUGUUAGAUAGAAGAACGUUUGGGCUGAGGUGCCUCAGGGUAACUACUGCUUUGGUGCUUGUCCUCUUCCAAAGGAGCCACCAGAGACAGUAAAUAAUCCUGGACAUGAAACUAAUUCAAGAUUAGUGCUGGCAAUCCAAUUCAACCAAAGAAGGAAAGGUGCACUCCAGCCCAGAAUCAGCUGCUUAGAACUGUUUUUAUCUACUGCUUAGAACUCAUUCCUGCCAACUUCUGGUGGGAACAGAGACCUGCUUAAACCCGCAGCCCUGCUCUCAGCGCCAGCCUUGCUUGUACACCCUAGAUAUGCAAGAGACGUUUUUUCCAAUAUGCAAAGCUAAAAAUUGUCUAAUCCCGGCAAGGAAUAUAUCUCGAAGAGCAAAUUUCGAAACUUACCAUGCAUGUGAUACGAAAACAUGUGCAGAUGCUGACUGCUGAGCGUUUGCCUUUGUAAUGGAAAGAUCCUAACAUGCAUAGCUGGCUGCCUUACCGCUUUCCCCCUCAUCCCCAAUCCAUAGGAUGAAUACUGGGGACAUAUGCUUUAGAAUGCCAAUUUAGGGAGCACAUAUGGUGCAUACAAAGAAGCAGCAAGUGAAAUAAGUCAUUGAUAUUUAACCAACACACUUCCCAGCUUAAUCAGUACAAAGAAUCAUAAUCUACUCUUAACUGUAGCUGAUACUUGAAAUCCAAAAGCCAAUUAAUUGCGGUGCAUGCAGUAAUAUGGCUUCUGCCCUAGAUGGCUCUUCAAACCAAAAGAAGAGAUAUCCACCCAUAGGCAUCAAAAAACAAUGCAUGUAAUUAACACGGACCGCGGAGUUGCCGAUGGAGCAGCAAAAGAAUUGCGAAAAGCUUAAAAAAAAAAUGGCCGCAUCAAUUAAGGUUUCAAAAGGAUUUCUUUUCAUAAGAUACCAAACCAUGAACUCCUCCUUCGACUU